GUUUACAAUUUCACUACUCUAUAUAACCUAUUCGUUGCUUAUCAUUUCAAUCACACCUUCUCACCAAAUUCAUCUUCUGAAUUCAUAAUUUUUUCUUUCUUUCUAUGUUUUGCGAAUUCGAUUUUCAAUUAAGAAAGUUCCGAUGAGGAAGAAAUCCCCUUAAAGAUAGGAAGUGCCGUAUGACACUUUAAACAGCAGCGGAUCACGGCGGCGCGUCAUCCCAUCCACCAAUUCGCCGGCCUCCGAUCAUUAACACGAUCUUAGAGCUCAGUUCGUUGGUCGGGAUUCGCGUUUUAGCCUCUUCCACUGUGUGUGUGAUUUUGAACGGGUCUCUGAGGUUUUUUUCAUCUACUUUUCUAUCAAAUCAUUUGAUUUUUUCUUCAUAUCUUCUGGUUCGAUGCCACGUCGACGGUAGCCAAAAGUGCAGUGACCGACGAUGCUAUGAUUGAACCUAUAACAGACUUUGUGUCUUUCGCAAUUUUAUAGGAACCUGUGAACUGAUUGUUAUCCGUUCAUUCACAGAGCCGGUUUUUGCGAUUACAUUUUUUUUAAUAAAAAAAAUAUUUUUAAUUGAUUGAUUUUUGAUGAAAUUUGUGUGUUGCCAAUGAGGUAUUAAAUCGUUAUAAGUUGGAAUUACCGACUGAUUUUACAUUGAUGAUACAUCGACUAUCUGAGGCAUUUCAAAUUGUUUUGAAUUUUUUGGAUCUUAAUAUUCAUAUAAAAAAGAUAAAUUGAUCGAUAGUUUGUUUUUUUGGCAUUAAUAUUAUAUGAAUAUUCACAGCAGAUCAUGUUGUAAUUCAUAAGAACAAGGAAUUGCUUUUUAACUAAAAUGUCCGAAUUAGGGUGUAACGUUUUUAAUUAGUUCCACACUAUUAAAAUUUUUUUGGAUGAAAAUAAUUUAUUCAGGUGAUAACUUAUUUUUAUUUUAGAUUUGCUAUGUGGUAGUUGUUUGUGGUUUGUAGAUAGUGAUUUUGAAUUGUUUUGUGUCGAGGCUUGAACAAUGUUGCUUGAUGAUUCUUGAAAGUGCCGAAGUGUAGCUCAAGAGCACGUGUGAAUUUGUAAUUUGUCUUACAGAAGAUUGUUGUUGGCUUAUUCUCCUUGAAAGGAAAAAGAUGAUUCAUUUCGGAAUGUUGAUAUAUGACAUUUUCUGGAAAGUUGAUAGCUGACGUUUGCUUGAGACUUGAGAGGAUUAUGUGUGGUUAAGAAAACUUAGGUGUGAUUUGUGAGGGAUUAAGAAUUAUAAAUCUAUUUGUGAUCCAAAAGAAAAAAAUGACUAAUGGGAUGGGGAUUGCAUCAUCUGUUCCCGAUUAAUUUUAGGUUUAAAGAAAUUAAUUUUUUAGGUUAAAAGAAGUCUAUAAUAUAAUUUUAUAAUUUUUUUUGACAUCCCUAAUUAGUGCAAUGAGAGUAAGAUCCCUGACAACAAAUAGGAAAUAGUAAGGAAAGAUGAUAUUAGAUAUAGCACGGAAAAGGAGAAGAGACUACUUGAGUAGGUAAUGAGAGAAAUUAGAGAGGAUAAAGCGUAGUAUGUAAGAAAAAGAAAGAGAAAGUUUGGAAGAGAAAAGAGCACAAUAUGUAUUGAUGCAUACAAGUAAUUUUGUUGGAAUGUUGACUAAUGGAAUCUUUAACGUAUCCUGGUUACCUGAUAAAAUAAAGUAUGUUGGAAUGUUGACUAAUGGAAUCUUUAAAGUAUCCCGGUUACCUGAUAAUCUCUCGUAUUCGGCUAUAGCAAGAGCCCUAAAUCUAGAGCCGCUUGACAUUCCAAUCUAGUUUCAACAAUGCACUUUUCGGACUGAGAAAGAGGGUUUGCUUGGCGUAAUGAUUCAAAUUUGGAAAUAAAUAACAAAAAAUAUUUUACAAGGAUUCUGUACAUAUAAAAAACGUAGAAAUCUGAUUUAUGAUGAAGAAAGUUAUGACCCGUCGAAAUUUUACGAUCAAACAGACAUGAGUCGAUAAUCGUAAAAAGUGAAUUUUUGAAAACUAUUUUUUAGCCUUUAAACGAAAGCGUACAAUUUUAAUUUUUCUAAGAUUCAUAGCAGUAUACAACUUGGAAAUUGAAUUUCAGAUUGAUCGAUUAUUGACACAAUCUAAACGACAAUUGAAGAUCUUGUUAAUAGAAGCUCAACGAUAUAAAUACAGUCGAAAACGGACGUCAGAUGAUAAAGUUAUGAAUUUUUAACAGAUUUUUAACUGUCUAAGCAUGUUAAAAUAUACCUUUAUAGAUAACGUCAAAACUAGCCGACAGAGUUUAUGUAACAUCCUGAAUUUUAGAAGUAUGAUUUAAAGGUUUAUAGUGUAUAUUCGAAGAAGGAACUCGAUGAGUAGGUACGCUUACUCGUCGAGUCGGAGCGAGUUUGGGUCGCGAAUUAAGUGACCAACUUGCCGAGUCGAAAGCUGGACUCGACGAGUUUGUGCUGGAAUGAGAAAACCCUAAUCUUUGGGUUUGCAUCCUAUUUAAAGGACUUUAUGUCCUUCUCCCAGCCUCCUAAUCCCCCAGAGAGUUCUAGAAAACCCUAAUUUCGUGUGAGACUUCAUUAUUGAGGAGAUUGGAGCUUGGAAGAGGAAUUUGGUGGAAGGAGCUUGAGAAAUUAGGGGCUAGUAUCAAGGGGCUUGUAUGGAUCUGGGAUCUACAUAUGUUUGGACAUAUUUCAGAGGUAAGAAGCCAUAAUCUUAUGCUAAUUUCCAUUUUGGUUCAUCCUUGGUGGUUGAUGUGGAGUUCCUUGGCUUGUUUGAGAUCUAUCUCGAGUUGGAGUUUAGAUCUGAGGUUCCUACUCCAGAUCUAGACUUAUGAUGGCCUAGAAUGUCAUAAAGUUUCAGUCAUUGAGUUGUUGGUGAAGCCCCUUUGUCUAAAACCCAAGCCAUAGUGUGUUUUGGGCCUUUAUCUCCUUGGUUUCACGUAAAGUUUGCAACUUUAUGUGAGGGUUAGAUUGUAGAAUGGUGGAUCUAUGGUUUAGAGCCCCUGCAUGGCUCGAAAAGCCUCUAUAUGGAAUAAGAAAUGGAGAAACUCAGGGAGUCACAUGGGUGUACUCGACGAGUUGUAUGAACAUGUGCAGGGACUCGGCGAGUUGGAAGAACAACUCGGCGAGUCUAUUGAAGAUUGUCUUGGACUCGGCGAGUCUGUUCUUGGACUCGGUGAGUCAGGUCGCAGAACCCCAACCUCUUUUGGUUAAAUCCUUGGAUUAAGUGAGUCGGUCGGCGACUCAUUGAGUUAGACAGGAUGCGACUCAGAGAUUGUUGGACUCGGCGAGUCUUGGGGUGACUCGGCGAGUUAAGUUGUCUUAUGAGAGUUUUUUGGGAAUGGGAACUCGGCGAGUCGACAGGUUGACUCGACGAGUAGAAUCAACCGGGAAGGUUGACUUUGACUGAGGACUUUGACUUUGACCAAUAGUUGACCAGUUUGACUUCAAGGGUAUUUUGGUAAUUCUGGUAUUUAUGGCAUUGGUUCUUUGAUAGUGUUCUGUGGUGAAGUUUGUGUCGGUGGUCGAAGCAGCUUGGUCUUAUCUCUCCAGUCGGCAAUUGCAGGUGAGUUAUCCUCACUAUACCGACAUGGUCUACGACACCAAGGCCGACCCUUUAUCGGAUGGAAAUCCGGGUAUUGUUUGUUAUGUUAUUGCUUUGCUAGAUUUGCAUCCUAGUAUUUAGGAUGGUGUUAUGUUAGUGACCUCGUUAAGGUCGGUACCCGAUAUUUAGGGUAGUGUUAUGUUAUUGACCUGGUUAAGGUCGGUACCCGGUAUAUAGGGUGAUGUUAUGCUAGUAACCGGUUAGGUCGGAAUCCUGGUUAGGAUGUUGAUAUGCUAUGUGAUUUGUUAGACUGUUUGUCUGGUUAAUGAUUUGUUAUGUGAUUAAUUGCUUUAUGUGCACAUGAUUGUUUGACGGGGGUUGGAUUGAGGCGGGUCCUGCUUUGUGUUGUAGGCCAACAUAGCCACGCCGGACCGGAUAUUCCGAAGGCCGAGCGAGCGGUUCGGAUAGGCUGAAGGCCCCAAGAGGGCGGACCAGACGUGCCGAGGCUCGGGGGGUGGGACANUCCAUCUUGUGUGAUGAUUGGACCCAUAGUAGUUAUUGUUGUAUGUAUAGGAUUUGGGCAUUCCAACCCGAUGGUUGUGGACCGAGAGUAUUCCAUCCCGGUAGGAUGAUUGGGCUCGUGUUAUGUAGGCAUACCAACCCGAUGGUUGAGGGCCAGGGGUAUUCCAAUUGGAAGGUUGAUUGGUCCCGUAAUAUGUUGUUCUUUGCUGUAUGCGUAUGUUUAUGUGUGUAUGGGUACUUUGGGGGAACUCACUAAGCUUUCGGGCUUACAGUUGUGGUUUAUUGUUUCAGGUGCUUCAGGAGAUCGUGACAAGGCGAAGGCGUGAUCGUACCGCUCUUCAUGUUUUAUGAUUUAUGUGAUAUGGUUCUGGGGAAUACUCUGGUGUUUAAACUAUUUUGAAAACAAGUGUAUGAACUUAAUGGUUUUUAAAUGAAUUAAAAUGUUUUAAUUUGGCUCGAAUUUUAUGGUCGCUACAGUUUAAACGAAAGUUGUCGAUCACAUCGUUACGUACAUAUGGAUAUAAAGAAUGUAAAAAAACGUAGCUCGUAUGUGAAAGUUACGAAAUUUAGAAGAUAUUUUGUUUUUGGGUUAAGUUCUGGAGGUGACACGUGGCAUAAACUCAGCCCCACCUUCCUCCCCAUGACUUUGCAUAUGAUCUCGACACGUGGCAUGCGUACGCCCAACGUAGCAUGCGUACGCCCAACAUAUAGCAGUACACCCAACGUACAUCAAAAUUACUCCCUGUGUACUCACAAGUUUCAGCCUAUAAAUAGAGGCGCAAAUAAUCUCAUUUCUUUACACCUUUCUAACUUUUUCUUUCCCAAACACCCCAAAACCCUCAAGGUUUUUCCCUAGCACCUCCUAGGUGUUAGUAGCGAGUCCCAGAGCGCCAGACGGUCCCGAGAAGAAGAGCUGGCUCAGAAGUUCUGGUCGCACAGAGUCCGGUUCCUCGCUAAACUCUCUUGUAAGUGAGUUAUGCUUACCCUACUUUCAGUAUAACUUAUUUUUAAGCUCAUUAUCGUUAUUUGAACAUAUAAACAAGAUUUAUCAGUGAUUCUAAAUUGUUAUACUGAUUGAUCUACUUACGGGGAUGAUGUCUAGGUUGUGAUUUAAUGAGGUGUUUAAAGUGAGAUUUCCAAACAGUAUACUUCGUAUACCAAACGGACCAUACCUCCGAUAUGAUCCUACCUGGUUGUUCCUUACUUGAUAGAUCAUGAAAGUAGACUUUGAGUUAAUGAUGAAUCUAGACUAAUAAUUAGUCGCAAUAAAUAUUAGACUAAAAACUUAUUGAUUAGGUUUCGUCGAAGAAAAAAACGAUUGUUAGAAGCGAAGCACUGUCCGAAUUUCGAGUCAUCACUUUAACAAGUGAGUACAUAGUCCCUUUCAUGAACAUCAUUUUAAUACAAGUAUUAAUUAAAGUAUUAAAUAUAUGUUUAUGUGUGAAAUAUUGGAUAUUGCCUGAAAUACGUGUUAAGAACAUAUCUGAUAAUAUAUGAUGAUUUAUGAUACAGAAUAAACCUAAAUUAAUUAAAAAGAAUACCGAGUGGUAUAUUCUUAUGAGUACGGGUGAGAUAUACACGGAGGGUAGAACUUUAAAAAGUGUCAUUAAUCCGAGAGCAUGGAUUAGACAUAUUCAUUCGUCCCUAGUUCGAGAGUAUGAAGUUGGCAUAAUCACGUGUCAUUGAUCUGAGAGCAUGAAUUUGACAUACUUGAUCCGAGAGUAUGAAUUAGGUAAAGCUGUUAAUUUUAUAUUCGAGAGCAUGGAUCGUAUCGUUAUGAGGAUCGACGGGGUAGGGUAAAAAUUGCUUAUAUGAGGUGAAAUUGUAUAUAUUGUGAGUUCUAAAAUAUAUAUGAUAUAAGAUUAUGAGAUUGAAAUCCCUAUGUACUCACCAGGUUUCCCAACCUGACCCACUCAGUUUAUUUCAAUCACAUGUAUCGAUGCGAAAAUACACUACACUAAAAGAUUAAAGGAGAUGUAAAUCAUUAGUGUAAAUGAAUGUAAGGUAUGCUUAUGCUUAUGUUUCUGUAUUGACGAUAACAUCCCAAUGUUUUAAAUAAAAAGACAUUUCUUCGAAAAUGCUUUGAUAACAUCGUUAUCAUGUUUUCUGGAAAUAAAUUCCGCAAUACUACUUUUCAAAAAUGAUACUCUGAUUUUUAAUUAAGCAUAAAUAAAAAUUUUAAAAUGACCGUGAAUGUGGGGAUGUCACAAUCGAGAAGGAUAAAGAGGAGGAGAUUAGAUUAUGAAAAGGAGAAUAGAAAAAUGUAAUAUGGAAAGAUAAAAGAGAAAGAAGAAGAAUACAUAGACAUGAAAAUAGAAAAAAAUAACUUACCAACCAUUAUUGUCUGUGACAUUGUUGUCUACAAUGUCUGAUGUUGUAGAGAUGUUUCAUGUUUUAUAGGUUCAUCUAACAGUCAUGGUACGUGAAAAGAUAGGAGCACAUUGAGUUCGACUAUAUUGCUAAUUUAGUUGUAUUUUACCUUGUUGAUUAUUAAAAUUAUAUGUAUGAUUUUAUUGUAAACUCGAAUGUAACCUGCGAUGUAAAUUGUUUUGAGUUAAUAGAAUUUCGUCUUUUAGUAGAUAAGUUCAUAAGUAUGACAAUUCCUAGUUAAUUAGAUGUAGAAAGUCCAGAUCGUUACAAUUUUACCUUAUUAUCCUUUUGGGGAUGGUCAUGGUUGUUUUAGGUUGCAUUGACUUAUGAUUAUCUCCUUGUUUGCAUCCAUGACCUUGAUUUUGUCUUUGGACUCAACGUAGACCUUAACUUUCACUUAAGGUAUUUGUAAAAUAGGUUUAAAAUGUUUUUUUUAAGUUAAAAAUAUUUAAACCAAAUGAAAACAACAAACCAUUUUUUAAAAUGUAAAUCUUAUAUUUUUCCUAUGGAGAAAAUGUAAUAUCUUGUUUUCAUGUAUUCCAUUUUGACCCUUAGUUUGAGUAUUGUUUGCAAAAUUAGUCCCGAGUGGCAUUUUUGUAGUUUUAUGAGGCUACAUGUGUACGAUGGGCGUACGUGGCCAGGGUACAAACCCUUUUUUUUAGGGUUUGGACCCUAUUUAAACAUCAUUAUAGCCUGAUACUCUUUCUUAACUCCAACCUCCAUCUCCCAUAGCCUCCAUCUCGAAAGCCUAAGUGUGUGAGUGUGUUUUGGAGCUUUGGAGUGUCAUUUUGGUUCUCUUGGUGGUGAAGGAAGACUCUUGGAGUUGUGGUGUUUCACUGAAGUCUUUGGAUCCAACAACUACUCUCCUUUGUGCGUCUUCUGAGGUAUAAAGCUCCAUCCUUGAUGAAUAUUCCUUCAGAUCUUGUUCAGUCUUAGAAGGUUACACCUUUUUGUACCAAAUCUUGAUUCUUGUGAGUAUGGAAUACUACAGGACCUUUAAGUUGUCCUUUAAGAUGUUUUAGGGCAUGAUAAGUCAUUAAAAUGUAAUCUUUAUCCUUAGUUUUCCACCAUGCAUGGUCUAGGUUGUCUUAAUGAGUUAAUAAGUUAGGGUUUUUAGUAUUCAACACUUAAUAGCCAUGCAAGAUCAUAAAGUUGGAAACUUUAUGAUUAAGGACAUCAUUUGAGGAGUACAUUUGGACUUUGGACGAAAAGGAUUAAAUGAUUAAGCUCUUAAUAGAAAGGAAUGAUGGCAGACGCGUAUGUUGUGCGUACGUGGUCAACUCGACGAUUCUAGUCAAUACGUAGUACGCCCCGCGUACGGGUUGAGUACGCCCAACGUACUCAUUGAGUUGACCCGGUUGACUUUUGACUUUGACCUAGGGGUAUUUUGGGUAUUUUGAGCUAUAGUCUGAGUUUUGGUCACUGUUAUUUGUAAAGGUGAUCGGUAGAGUUGGUUUUCAGAGCAACGUGUUGUUUCAUCUUUUGUCCGACUGUGAGGUGAGUUUUUCAUGGUAUCCAUGGGUCGAAGGCACCAAUGCCGACCUAUUAUUGUGUUAUGUAGGAUGAUAGUCGUUGUGUGGCUUCUAUGUGGUUGCAUGUUCGGGUUGAAAUAAACCCCAGGGUGGGACCCACUAUUGUAUGAUUAGGUUGGAAUAUACCCUAAGGCCGGGCCCUAGGGCUAGGCCCAUAUGUGUUGAUCAGUUUGAAAUACACCCCAGGGCCCAUAUAUGUAUAUCGGGUUGGAACACACCCCAUGGUUAAGCCUAGUUGUAUGAUUGGUAUGUGGUACUUUGGGGAACUCACUAAGCUUUGUGCUUACAAUUUAUGUUUAUGGUUUCAGGUACUUCCGGUUCAAAAGGGAAGGACCCGACAUGAUGGCACAACAUCCUCCCCUCGUGAUUUCCACAUUUUGAAUAAUUGAACUAUGCUAUUUUGAUAUUAUAUAUGGUGAUGGUUUUUGAAACAAUUAUUGAAUGAAAUUGUUGGUCUUUCAAAUGAAAAAAAUUAUCACUGUUUUUGAGCUGUUACAAAAAAACUAUAUAUAAAUAAUGUUUUCAAUUGUUGGCUAGUUUAUAUGACUAUUUCAUCUUGAGUAAUAUGAACAAUUUGAAUAAGACUAUCAUGUAGUUGAGACACCUAACACCACCCUUAACGCUAAGGCAAAAGAAUGGCUCAAUCUCAAAUAUUUCUUUCCAACAAUGUUGACGAGACAAUUUAAUUCUGCUGCGGAGAAAAUGUGUUGGGGAAAUUCGAAUUAGGUAUUGAGAAAUCUAGAUAACAAACAGGAAUCGUGUAAAACACUUUCAUUGUUUGAUACUUUGAUCCUAUAUGCAUUGGAUAUCACGAAAUCCAAACUGGGAUAAUUCCUGAUGUAGCAAUUCUAAUUUUAGGCACAAGAUCAGAAUCAAUUUUUUAGAAGAUGAAGAGAGAGUGUUUUUAGUUUCCUAUGGGACCCCUGACCUGACACAGUAGAUUAGGGUUCAAUACUAACAAUGUUUAGUAAAUACAAGUAUGCACUCCCGCACCUCCUAACUUGUAUUAUAACUAAAACAUCAUUCUUGAAACACUUGUUAAGUCCAUUACACUAAAAUACAUUUGGUGAUAAAAUCACCAUCAAAAUGGACAUUAGAAGUAUAAUUGUUUCUAACUUUUGGGUCUUAGAUAUGUAUAUUGAACAAGUCAAGAGGUGUGUCAUUUCAAAUAUGUAUAUUGAACUCCAUAUUACUUCUGUUUCUAACUUUUGGGUCUUAGAUAUAGUAUGUGGUAUUCUAAUUUACCCUAUUUUAUAGGGGAUUAAGAAGAACUAGGAAGUUGAAGCGUGUAGAGUUGAUUUGAUGUCAAUUUGCCUUUGAUUAGUUGAACCUCUCUAUACCUAAGCUUUUUAUUUUCCAUUAGUGUAUAUAUAUAUAUAUAUAUCAAUGCAAAUGUAAGUAAGAAGUUGAAGCAUGUAUAUUCGAUUUGAUGUUAGUUUGUCUUUGAUUAGGGGAACCUCUCCAUUCCUAAGCUUUUAUUUUCCGUUAGUCUCUAUAUAUCAAUCCAAAUGUGAGUAUCACACACGUUGUUUAAUGAGUCUUAAGAGUUUAUAGUAGAAGCAUUAUGAAGUUUAAACAUAUAUCUAUUUGAAAUUCUACACUCCUUGGCUUUAGUUCAUUUUUUCCAGGUAUUUAGAACAACUACGUUUUCAGUAUCAUUUUUCUACGUUGUAAAAACAUAUUGCCUCAUUAGAAUUGUUUUAAGGAAGUAUCAUAGAGUCAUUUUUUCUAUUUCCUUUGGGAUUUGGGUGAAGUUUACUCUUCUCCUUACAUUUAAGAUGGUUAACAUAGUUUUUUCAAAUUGUUUAUAUUAUAAUUUUGGAUGAUCUAGUUAUAUAAACUGGUCAAUGAGUUGAGGAUAUUAGUUACAUAAAUGGUUUUUCAUGGGUGUUACUAAAUUAUAUUUUUUUCCCUUUAAUUAAAAUAUUUUUAACCUUUUCGGAUCAUUUGUUAACUCUUAACAAUUAUUGUUUGUGUUUCAAUAUUUAUUUUUAAGCAAUCAUGUAACAAUUUAAGAUAAACACAACACACAUGUAAACAACAAGAGUAAUUGGUGGUUGUCGAGGCCAACAAAAAUAAAUACCCUAAAUAUUACAAACUAAAAUAGUAUAUAGUGGUAAGGAGAUCGUAUCCAUGGAGAUUAGUUCAAUUAAUAACUCUAUGAAAAUCUUUUUAUAUAAAUACUUGUGAUUUUUUUUUUUUUUUUUGUCUUUUGAGAUAUUUAAAAGAAAACUAGAGACUAGAGUUACACUGAGAUUUAAAAACACAAUUCAACAAAAAGCAAGGUUUAAUAUAAAAUUAAUUAGAGAAAGAUGGUUGACUUAAGGUUUCAUCACUUGAAUAGUUGGUAAAUAUAUCAUUAGAAUUCGAAGUCUAAUACUUGUCUUAAAUCUCCAAUUUGGUUAUAAUAAUCAAAGAAGCUUGAUAUUACCUAGAUUUUUCUUAGUUAUUAAAGUAGCUAAAGAAGCUCAUAACAUAUUUCUUUAGUUAAAGUCAUAAUUUUCAUUAAGCAUGUAAUUAGUGAAAAUUAACUAGCAUUAAGGACCAAAAAGUAACCAAAUCCAAGAGGAAUCAUAAGCUUCCACUACCAUGUUGGAGAAAAUAUUUUUGUGAUUGUGUGAAGUGAUCCAUUACUUAAUCAAGAAAUUAGCCAAUUAAUCACUACAAAUACAUUUAAAUUCAUGAAUAAAAACAUACAAGUAGCAAGAAGAUGUUAAAAUAUAAAACAUUUUCAUAAAGACUCAAGAAGAAGUUCUUGGAGUUCAUUAAAAUUCAACCAAACAUUCAAUCAAAUUCACCAAAGUCAACCAACAUUUGUUUUGCAUAACAUGGCUAAACUCAAGAAACUAAAAUAAAUGUUAGGGGUACCAAGCAUUUAGCAAGAUUCAAGAGUAAAAAUGAAGAUGUUCUUCAAGUCCUUCAAGUUUUUCAAGGCCUUUAAAGUACAGAGAAAAUGCUCCUAAACUCAGAUCCAAAAGUUGUCCCAAAAGCAUCCCACAAACCAUCCCAAAAUAGCAGUAAAAAAUAAAAUCUCGAAAAUGCCCCUGCAGGUCACACAAGCUACGUGAAUUUUAGCCUAUUUAUUGCACGGGACAUGUAAGCUGGUUAGAAAUGGGACUUUUUUAUUUCUUGGAUUUGAAUUGCAUUAGUCCACCAACCCAAGUUUCUCCAAUAGAUGAUAGGUCCAAGAGUCUUCAAAUCUUCAUAAUUUAACAAGUCCAAACAUUCUCUUUUUUUCUUCCAAUCUUCAUUUGAGACCGAACCCAAUUGGUUGUCAACAAAACACUUUCGAAGUAGCCCACAUCCACAUCUCUCCUUAAAUCAAUAGUCCAAUUGUGUCCAUCAAGUGAUCCGGAAAUGCACUACAAGCUUCAUGUUUUAAGAUCCCAUACUCCCAAAACUACUCCACUUUGAAUAGUCUUUAAUAAAUCUCAAAUAAGUUGAAAAGACUAAAAAGUACCCAAUAAAGAUAUAAAAUAACAAAAAUAGAAAAAAUGCAUGAAGAUUAACUAAAAUGAGAUGAAAUGUGCUAAAAUAAACUAUAAAAAAAAAGUAAACAAAAUGAAACUAUUAGUAGCAUUUUCUUUAACCCUAUGCGUUUUUCAUGUUAGUUUAUUAUUGUGUUCUCCUUUUUCAUAUUUGGAACUCACUUCCCGAGUAUUAAUUUGCUCAAACCUCUACAUUCGGUCAUACUCUUGGAAGUAAGUGGUGAUUUAAGACUGUCAUUGAGUAUUAGUAGAUUGUUCAUGCUGAUUGGACAUAACAUAGAGACUACAACUAACACUCCUGAGUACUUAAUGGAUAUUUAAGUAUAGAACAAACCACACUUAGAUAUUACUUCAUGGAUAAAGUCAUAAGUGAUUCUAAGAUGAUAAUGUCUCUUAUUCUUCAAACAGAGAUACAUGAGAUUUUUACUUUCCAACACUAUCCGUAACUUGUAGUAAUAAAGGUAUGUCGAUGUAUGGCAUGAUGAGUAGACGAAAGUUAUGUAUGGUCCCCUCGAUGAUUUGUUGCUGACAUCUAAAGUGUGACGAGCCUUGACUGAAAUUGUUGUGUUCAAUUUAGUAGUAUAAGGUGGUCGUUACAAAUCUUUAUUGGGAAACAUAAUCAUGAACAUUCGGAUUGACCCUUAUCCAUGUUUAAGGUUUAGACAAUAUCUUGUGAACAAAUGAAUAUAUGAUCACUUAUUUAAGGGCUGAAUCUUAGUUUGAUCAAAGUUUUAUAGUUUCAUUGGAUGGCAUAGUCUAUGUUGAUUAUUUGAGAAGUAUUAGACCUCAUAUAGUUGAUGACUUGUCUAAGUGGGAGACUGUUGGAAAUAGUGUCAAAUAUGAUAACUAUUAAUGAUAUUUCUAAUAAUAACAAAGUCCUUUUGGGUUGCUCUUAAGACCCAUUUAAGUAAUUAAAAGACAAAGUUUUGGGAGAAAUUAGUUUAUUAAUUUGUUAUGUUAUGAUAAAUUAACUAGAAACUAUUUUGGAACAUUCUAGAAAGAUAGGGAUAAGGGACAAAAUUUGAUAAGCCCUAUCAAGGUUUUGGAGUUGCUUUGGCAGUAAGCAAAUGAGAGCCUAUAAAUAAGGAGCUAGAGAUCAAACCCUAGUUACCCAUUCUUACUCCUAGAUUUCGUCCUCCUUUUCCUCCCUCCCAGGUAACGCAAAAUAACCCUUCUAAGGUUUUGUUUUGGCGAUUUUACCUCCCAUCUCCUAGGAUUUGUUGUUUUGCUCUCAUAGUGUUCUUGGGUGUGAUGUCGUUAGAAUGAUUCUAUUAUGGGCCCUCUCAUCCAAGAAAAUGUGGUAAGAACUCGAUCUCAAGCAAGGAGAUCUCUAGCUUCAAAAGAGGUAUGUAAUUUUUAUUACUUUAGUAGUUGCACUAAUAGAAUGAACUUAGAUCCUUAUAUAUUGCAUGAAAACAUAAAAAUUGUUAUAAUAUUCUCAUGCUUAUAAACUUGUGUUAGUAUGCCUAAACUUAUCACAAUUUCAGAAUGGGCCAUCCAAACCAAAUAAAAACAAUUUUUUCUGACAAAAAAAUAAACUUCAAACACAUUCAGGUUUCAAAUUAAAAUUCCGAAGUUCAGAAAAAAUAAAAAAAAAAACUUCAGAAUUUCGAAAACAAGUCUGAAAUCUGAUGAAUAAUUCCGGAAUGAUAAGAAAAAAAUUCCGUUUUUUAUUAAAUCUAAUAAAAAAUUAAACAAACACAAUAAAUGAGAACCAUAUACAAUAUUAUGAAUCAAACAUUGAUUGAAAAAAAAUACUAAUAUUAUUUUCGAAAUGAAUAUUUUGGACAUAAGUAGAUAGAUUUCUUUGAUUUUUUUUCUUAAGACAAAAAGAAUUUCAGAAUUUGAAAAACAGUCCAAAUGAGAUAUUAAAAAAAAAAAAAAAAAAAUUAUUUUAUUUAAAUAUGGCUAUUUAAAAUGGUUAAUGUAAUGAAUUUGCUAUUAUUAAGGAAAAAAAAAACGCUGCUAGAUACAGUCCCAACGUUGACACAGGCUCACUUUAAACACUACAAUUUCUCGGGUUAUAUUUACUUGUCCGAGGUUCUUGAUUUUUCCAUCAAGGACCAUUUUAGAAACGCAAUUUCAGAAAGGAAAAAAGAUCAAAAAACUAAACGCAACCCGUUUUCUGGAAUCAAACGCCAUCACCUAAAAUCUCACACUUUCAUCUUGAAACCCACUAAUAAGCUUCGAUUCUUUGCAGAGGGUAACGUAAAUCACUAUGCAGGGUUUAAAGAAGGGUUCCUCUCUUACAAGGCCUUUCUCAAUUCAUCAUAUCAAACGAAUGUUUUCGAAUUCAUUGUCCGCUCUUGAAGAUACUUUCUUAUCAACCAAGGUAUUUUAAAUGAUUCUGGUUUUCAUCCAAUUUCGUCGUUUGUGAUUACGCAGCAAUUAGGGCUUCUUACCUAUAUCUCCCCUCUUUUUUCCCCUUUCAUUGAUGAUCUUCAUUUUGAUAGGAUACAUAUGAGAGGCAUAAAGUUGUGUUUACAUUACUAACUUCCAUAGCAUCUAUUGGCACUGCUUGGACUGGUAUGUUUAGCUUACUUUACUUCAAUGUCGAAUUGAUCGACCUAUAUUCAUAACUUUUUCUGGAAGAAAUCUCCUGACUACAUCUGUGUCAUACUAAAUGUUAUAAAUAGCAUACUUUUGUUCCUGAAAUUGAAGAAGAAUCCAUAAGAAUACGAGAAUUAGGUUUAAGUAUAUGGAUUUGUGUAAGUUUUGCGACAUCAAACACCAUAAAAUUAACUCGAAUUACAGAAUAAGAUGCUUCUAUAAUCACUAGAUUAUGUUUGUAUCAAAUUUAACUUAAAAAUGUGAAUUUUUUUUUCAGGCUAUACGCUACGCCACCUUCAUGAAACAAAAGUUGAACAAAGGCUUGACUCAAUCGAAAAUGCUGUUAGUAUUAACAAUAAAAUUGAAACAAUGUAUAAAAUAUAUAAAAUAUAAUAAUAAGAUAGUGUUUAUACUUUAUACGUUUUUUUGUAGAUGAAAAGAAAUUAUGACCUUGAUGGAAAGGAAUUCAAAAAGAUGGUUGGAAACGGUAAUUCCAAUGCUGCAGCUUGUGUGGCCACAUCAGGUGUCACUUUGGUAAUCGGGUUUGUAAAAUAGUCUUUCUUCAAAACUUUUGUUGUUUUUAUAAAAUUUACCACAUCACACCUUGUAAUUGAACGAAAUUACGAAAAUAGUCCCUGUGGUUUUUUCAGGUAUGGGUUGGGUUGGAGAGGUGGGAGGUGGUAUGCAAACCGUAAAUUCAAAAGGGAACAGAUGAAGCUUUUGGGUCAAGUUAAACCAAAGAAAUGGCAAUUGAAGAAAAUUUUGGGUCGAUUGAGGAAGUCAAAUACUGCGGUCAAAGCAUCAGUCAAAGCAUCGGAAAGCGCGAUUCCGGUUGCACAUAAUGCUGCUUGAAAAGGGAAUGAUCAAUGAUGUAGAUUCAAGUGGAAUGGAAUCAGUUUUGAGAUAGAUAUACAUUUUUAGAGAGAGGUGAUAUAGUGUGGAGUUUUAUUACUACUAUUAACCUUGAAAUAAAGGUUUUAAUUUGUUUACACAAUUUCUUUAUGAAAUUAAUUGAUAUAGAAAAAAAAAAUCCUAAAUUUAUCAACUUCGGGUUUCCUUCUCUUUAAUGUUUGUUUUUUUGUCAGUUUUUAUUACAUAUAUAAAGAAGGAUAAACGAUAAUAAUAUACACAAAAUACAAGAUGGUAGAUGACUUUUUUUUUUUUUUAAAUUUGUGGGCCUUAACAAAUUGCAAUUGAAGGUUUUAGUAGAAUUAAAAUGCUAGCUUUUGUUGUUUAGUGAACAUUUGAAAAUUGAAAACAAAUAAAUAAAUAAAUAAAAAGUGUUAUCAGAGUUGAAAAAAGAGCAAGAGAAAAUCAUGGUAAUAUUUAUAGAAUGCUAAUUUCUCACUGGUAAAAAUAAAAAUUCCGACUAUAAAAAAACACAGAUGACAGAUGACAUAAUCAGAGAAAUUUUCCUUUGAUUAUAGUACAACAUGAGGGGUAUAUACAAUGGAGCAAAAAAAAAAAAAAAAAAAAAAANAAAUUAAAAAAAAAAAAAAAAAAAACAAACUAAAAUGUUAUAUUUUCCAUUCUCCACAAGCAUUCUUUCCGUAGGGGCGAAUCCGUAAAUAUGGCUCUGAUAAAAUCCCUCAUCUGCAACAUAUAUACAAAUAAUAAUAACUAAAUAAAAAUUGAAAGGUUUAGUUUAUAAGUGUUAUUAAGUAAAAGAUUUAAUAAUAAUAAUAAUAAUAAUAAUAAUAAUAGUAAUAAUAAUAAUACCUCAGAUGAAGUAUAACCACACUUUGCCAGCUCACCACUUUCCCAUGAUGCAGUAAUGGACUUCAAAGGCAUGUCCAACAUAUCUGUUCAUAUUUUUUAAAAUGAUAAUAUAAAAUCAUUAACUCCAAUUUGGUUGGAAUUGGAUGGAAUGGAAUGGAAUAAGUAGUUACAUUCCAUGAUCAUGUUAUUGGAAUGGAUUUUUUUAUUGUUAUAUUGAUUUCCAAUAUAUAUAAGUUUUAACUCUGCUUUUUAAGGAUAUUAGUUAUAAUUAAUAAAUUUUUAUUCCUUGCUAAAACCCAAAUAAGAUUUAUAACAAAAAAGUAUAUUAUAUUUUCUAGUUUUUUUUUUAGAGAAUAAAAUUGCUAUUUGAUUAAAACCAUGAUUUUUUUUUUCAGACAUUACAAAUUAAAUAAAUACAAAGUUGGGUUAUAUUGUGAAAUUUCAUUCCGUUCCACUUAAUUCCAUGAUGGGAAUGAAAAACAAAAGCGGAUUGACUCCAUUGGAAUGAACAAUUCCAUUCCGUCUCAGAUUUCAUCACAAACACUAGCUAAAGUAAAAGAUGCCUAGUGACACCAAUUUAAAUAAUUAAAAAAAAAAAAAAAAAACAUACCUGCUAAUAUCCGUAGUCUAGGGAGUGAUGGAAUUAGAUCAUUAAUAGAGCCUGAUGACUUCUCUUGUGGCUUUGUUGUUUGAUUGAUGGCAAUCAAAGAUUCCAUUAAAGAAGAAAGGUUUUCCAGCAGCAUAUGAAUCAACCUUUGAAGCUGAAAAAAACAAUAACGUAUUUAUGUGGAAGGAAUGGAAUCUGUGAAUGGAGUUGAACUCCAGGGGAAUCGGAAUCGGAAGAAAUUGUAAUCAAACAUCAACUCCAAACAAAUCUAACAAGAACCAAAACUCCGUCCAUUUGGCAUACAAACACGACACAGAAUGGAAUCACCGAUUCCGAUUCCGUCGGAAUCACGGAUUCCGAUCACACUCUAAUAGAUAUUACAAAGAAAGGUUUUACAAAAUGAACCUGUAAUGUUUCUUCAGCUGCAAUGUCAUCUAACAUGAGUAUAUCUUUUGUCAUUCUAGAACAAACAGCCUCCACAACACUACACAUACUUCCUUUGUAUGUCAAAGGAAGCAAAAGUGGCUCCCAUAUUAUGUGAACUUUCUCCAGUAUAAAAGCCACCUGAUCAAUACUAAAUUUUGCAGAUUCACAUCUUUUUGGUUGAUGCGUAUUUUGAAAUCCAUCAGCCCCAUCAAUCGCCUAAAAAAUUCAAAUUUUAUUAUUUAAGAGCAAAAAAAAAAAAAAAAACAAGAUUUGAAUUUGAAUUUUGAAAGAUAAAAAUAAAUUUACCUCCAUUAAAUUAUGUUUAACAAGCUGUAUCUGUCUUUGUAAUAUCUCUUCUGCCAUAAUCUUGUAUCUUACACCCAAAUCAAUAAACACAGCUCCCUUCAUGGAAAUUGGGAAAUCCGACUUAUACUGAAAUAAUAAAAUGGAAAUAUAUUUAUUUACCACUUCAAAAAAUAAUAAGUUAAACAAAAUUAAGUUAUCUUUAUUUAAUAAUCAUACCUCAAAAGCAAGGCCAAGAAUCUCUUGUGAAAGAUAAAGACAAUCAUUAUGAAUAAGAACAGCAACCUGGUUGAUUCCAUCCAGCUGUCUUUCUAACUUCAUAACACAAAAUGAAAUAUUAUAAGGCCAAAAUAAUACCAUAAAUACACACAUUUUCAUUUUCUUCAAAAUAAUUACAAACCUUGACUGGAAUAACAGCUUCAUAAAGAAGUAGAGCAUCCCUAGCAGCAUGGUAGAAUUCUAAAGCCACUGUUGCAGAUGAUAAACAAACAUCCUGCACAUAAUACACCAAUGUACUUUUGAGAGAAAACUGAAAAAGUAACUUUUUUUUUAUAUAUAUAUUAUUCAACUAAGUAAUAUUUUAUUUAACCUUUAGUGUUUCAUGGACAACUUCCAUUAAACGAGAAGCUGCUUCAGAAAUGACACAUUUUUCAGAGGAAAAAAGUAAGUCUGUGUUUCCACCAUUUUUAAGCUCUGUAUUUUUCCUUGAAUAGUCCUGUGAAAGAACUGUCAUUCAAUCAAUGUUUAUACAGUUGAUGAAGAACAGAAAAGGGUGUAUGGAAAAAGUUUAGGGAGCUUACUUUAGGAAGAUUAAAAUCUGAAUGUAGAAGAAGGUCUCUUGCUGAUGCUAAAAUCUCAAUCUUUUUCCUCAUUGCAAAGUGAACUUCAACAUUGUCAGCAAAAUUAGUCAACCUUUCAUCUUUCCCAGGGGAGAUGAACAUAACUUGUUUAAGAGAUGCCUCAAAGUCAGAUGUGAGUUGUCUUGUUGUUUGAAAGUCAGCAAGUUUGGAAGCAUCAGUGGGAACAAUCUAGCAUCACAUAAUGCAAAUCAAUUAUCUAACAUAUGAUGGUUUUGUUGUUUAAGAAGAAAUAUAAAAAGUAGUCAAUUAGAUUGAUUCUUAUGAGUUGUGAAAAGUCAUAACAUUUAUGUAAAAAGGAACGAACCUUGGAAAGGAAAUUAGAGAUAAUCAAUUCUGACAUUCGGGGCCAUGUUAAUCUUCCAAAGUAUCGCAUCCAGGAAGAAUCUUGAAAGCAGAUAAAGUUGAAAAUGAAUUGAAUCACAACAUUAAUUCCAGAAUAGAUAGUUUCAGCAUCCAUGUUCUCAAUCUGCAUGCAUAAAGGAUUAAGACACUAUAAGAAGUUAAUCUAAUAAUACUUUUUGUUAUUAGUGUUAUGCAUAAGAUAAAUAAAGAAAUGAAAUAUCCAAUGCCACUUUAUAAAUACCUGAGAAUCAGAAGGUGGGGUUAUUCUCAAAACUACCUCAGCUAUAUAUCCUGAAUCUAGUCUUUUUUCUUCUACAGAAAAACUAUGAGAACCAGAGCGCACUGCAGGUGCUAUCACAUGUCUGGUCAUCAUGUCUGCUACUUUUGCAAGCCCAUAAUCUAGAAUACCAACUACCUGCACAAGAAAAGAGAAGAAGAAAGCCUUUCAAUUUCAACUUGAUCUGCAUAUGAUGAUUAGAAAGAGAGGAACUCAAAAAUUUCUUUCUCUGUUGUUAUCAGAGGUUAAUUAACCCAAAGUUUUAGUAGAAUCAAUAUGCUUAUAAGAACUUAUCUUAUGAUUGUUCACCAACAAAAUCAAAUAAAGAGGAGAAGCUGAAAGCAUUUAAACUUACAUGCAUUGCUUUCACAACAGUACAAAGCUCAACCCCUUGAUUGUCAUUCAUAGCCAUUCUAUUUUUGACAUAAACUACAUUGGACUGCUGAUCGAAUCUCACUGCAUUCUCCAUGAACUUCACUAGCACAUUUUGUAUCUACAAACGCAAAUUCAGCUCCGGUUAACACACCACGAACUCAAGAAAGGCAAAUACUCAAUUAUGUCAUAAUUCUUAAAGAUAAUCAUCAUCUAACAUCAUAUGUUGCGAAAUAAGGAAACGUAUUGUGCCAAAUAAACGUCAGGAUUUAUCAAUUCAGUUUUUUUUCUAGCUCUACACAUGAAAAAUAAUACAAUUUCUACCUCUUCGAAGCAAUCUGUCCAUUUCUUCCUUAACAAACCAAAUACCAAUGGCUCUCUUUCUUCCCGGAGAUCCUCCACAUUAUCUCUAACUCGUAAAGCCACUUUCAAGUCUGUAAGAGCCUCUGCAGCCUCAACGACCUUUCCCGCCAUCAAAUCACUCUCCACAACACUCAACUCUUGGCUCAAUUUCAACACUACCUUAACUAAAUCUAGCGCUUCCUUCUUCUCUUUCGAUUCAACACGUUUCCUCCUAAUCUCAUCGACUGUUUCUUUGAUUUUCAGAUCGAUCGGUUGAAGAUUCGAUGAUAACAGACCAACAAGGUUAGAUACUUGAUCGGAUAGUUGCUCGGAAUUAAUAACAGCGUCGGAGCAGCGAGAGAAUAGGGCAGAGAAGUCAUCAUUGUUAGCGAGUAUGUAAUUGUGGACUUUGGACUUAAUGUCGAGUGAACGGACUUGGAGACGGUCGAUGAGGAGGCGGAGAUCGGGGGCGGAGAGCGGUGAAGAGUCGUCUAGAUCAUGUGACGAUAACAAAUCCCGGACGUCGAUUGAAUUGAAGAGUACAUCCAUCUGGAGGAGCACAGUGGUUCCCCGACGGGUGCCGGUGGUGUUGGUAGAAGGUUGUCUUUGCGUGGAGAUCAGGAAAGCAUACAAGUGUAGAAUUAGAGCCCAACCAAUUGGGCUUUUGUUAGUGGUAAUGGGCUGUAAGUAUUUAUAUUUGUUGAUUUAAAACUUAAAUUAGUGUAAUUUUAUAUAUCUUAUCUUAUAUUAUAUUAUAGGAAAUUGCGUAAGAUGGUUAACUAUCGGAUAGCAACACUCGCUCCAACACACAACUCUUUCUCCAUCAUCACUACAUGUAAUAUGGUGCGGGGAAAAUAUAUCCAACAAACGUUAAAUGACCGUUUUAACAUACAUAUUUCAUACGAGCAAACAUGAAGUGCACAAAUGUACGCUUUGAAUUUGUUGAGAAAUAUCCUUAAAGAAAGCUUUCAAAGACUUUUUUUGUAUUAUUACAAGUUGGAGAGGAAGAAUCCAAGGACUGUUACACAUAUAAAGAUAUGACAUGACAACAAAUUUUAAUAUUUUUUCCGUCGCUAUCGGUUGCGUGAUAAUAUUUCUUAUAUAAUCUAUUAAAUAUACGUGUAUUGGAUUGUAUGACUAAUCUAUUGAAUUAUUGUGUAGGUUUGAGCAUUUCAAAUAUGUUUAUGUCCUAUUAUUAUCAUUAACAGAACAUAUCUUAAAGGAAAAUACUUGGACAAUGUUCCUAGCAGUAGUCAUGGACAGUAAUAACUAAAUCCUCCCAAUAGCAUUUGGUGUUGGAAAAACUGAAAGUGGGGAUUCAUGGAUAUGAUUUAUAUCAAGACUCAAAGAAUGUAUUUAGGACAUGGAGCCUUUAGUUAUCAUAUCUGAUAGAGCCAAUUCCAUUGAAAUGAUAAAUCGUGUUUCCGAACACAAAUAACAGACUAUACUGUUGCCAUUUAUUGAUGAAUAUGAGAACAAAGAUCGGUAUAGUCAUCUUGGAAUCUCAUUCUUGUACAUGUGGGAAAUGGAAAUUGUCUGGUAUACCUUGUUCUUAUGCUAUGGCAAUAUUUAGGUAGUAUUUGGUACGCAGAACAAAAUUGGACUGAACUAAACAACACCUGUUCAAAUGAUGUUUGGCAUGGAUUGAACAAAAAGUCAAUGGGACAAAAACUUUGGUCAAUGAGACUAAAAUUGGUAAAUUUAGUCCCACCCAAAAAGUGGAACUGAGUGGGACAAAACAAAAUAUCCUUACUAAAACUAAAAUGCACUCUUCUUCUGUUCUCUUCUACCGUUCUUGUGCAAAUCCUUAAGAUCGAUAAUUUCACCCAUUGCCUCUUUCAAUCAAUCCCUUGUUGGUUGUACAUAUAAAUUUUCUUUCAACUCACCCUGUAUAAUUUAGACUUCUUCUUGGUCGUGAUUUACAUGAUUUUGGAUCCUUCAUUCUCUCUUCAAAAUCCAACAUCUUCUCGGCACAUGCUCUAUCCACAAGUUCACCUGGUACAUAAGAGAGCUGUUAAUCCAUCAAUUUCUUUCUAGGAAAUCUCGAAGCAUUUCUUUUCCCUCGAAUUUUCGUGCUUAAUUGUUCUAGAAAGUGGAUACUUGAUUGGAAUCUAUUCCAAAGGGAGAUGAUGUCCUAAAUUUAGAUUUAAGUUUUAAAAAGGGAAAGUAAGUUUUUAGAAGUAAAUAUGUUAAGAUGAAAAAGAAAGACGAUUUGUUUUUUUUUUUUUUUUUUUUUAAAAAUUUUCCAGUCACCUACUUAAUUCACACAUUGUUUUGUGAUUUAUUGAUAAAAUCACAGUAGCUUCUGCAAUUUGUUGUUAAAUCAUUCACACGUGUUGCAAUUGUAUGGUAUUUUUUUUCUUUCAAUUUGGGAUGUGGUGUUUUAUUGACAACUCACUCUUGUUUAAUAUAAACAUUUUAUAUAUUAUAGUUCACAGUUUGAUAUAUAUUUUUCUUUGAAUAAAGGUUUUAUUGGAUUUAUUUUAUCUUUGAUUGAAACAAUUCAAUGAAACAUUCAUGUUGAAUUAGCAAAGGAACAAACCCCACAUAAAAGUCACGAUUGAAACUUUUAUCAGCUUAAAUUUGGUUUUAUUUAAAUCAAGGGCAAUAUGAUAAUUUUAAUAUCUUUGUUCUGUUCUGUUAUAGUUUUACCAAAUGUUAUGUGGACUAUUUAUUAUGUUCGGUUCCAGUUCUCUCCCGUCCAGUCUACUUUUGUCCCACUACCAAACACUGCCUUAAGGAACUGAGAUAUGAGAUAUAAACACUGGUGUUUAAUUAUUAUACUAGUUUUUUUAGAGUAAAUUACACGAAUGGUCCCUAUGGUUUGGGGUAAUUUGCAUGUUUGGUCCCUAACUUAUUUUUUUAACUCGGAAGGUCCCUAUGGUUUGUUUUUGUUACGCGUUUGGUCCCUACUGUUUAUUUUUGUUACGCGUUUAGUCCCUGUAUUAUCUAAAAAGACUAUUAUUUAAAGAGAAAAAAAAUGAUGGGGUAGGUGAGGUAAUGUGAGGGGGUGGGAUUAGGGGUGUGUUUAUUUAAAUAAAUUAAAAAAAUCAAGGGCAUAAUAGUCUUUUUAGGUAAGAUAGGGGCCAACCGCGUAAUAAAAACAAACAGUAGGGACCUUCCGAGUUAAAAAAAUAAGUUAGGGACCAAACAUGCAAAUUACCCUAAACCAUAGGGACCAUUCGUGUAAUUUACUCUUUUUUUUAAUUAUAAUGUAAAGACCCAAAUUUUUUAAAAGAAAAUUUUCAUUUUUAAUUAGUCAAACACAUUUGCAUAAACCAUGAAACCCCAAACAUUGUUUUCAAAUCCACAUUCAUUACAACUUUAUUUAAAAACAUUAGUGUCCCGUAACGUAUCAAUGAGAGAGAGAGAGAGUGUGCACGUCGUGCCAUCACGCGUUGCCUUUGCUCUUGGGAUCUGAAGUACCUGAAACAAAUCCACAACCUGUAAGCUAAAUGCUUAAUGAGUCCCCAGAGCAUACCCACACAUAAACCACAUACAAGAUAGCAUACUAGCUAUCACAUAAAUCAUGCAUACAACAUAUAAAGAAGCCCUGGAAACCCUCUCGGGUCUUACAACUAGUGUCAUGGGAACCCUCACGUGGUCUUAGUCUACUGCUACGGGAACCCCCGGGGUCUUCCAUACAAAUUUCAUACUAACAUAACACAUCAUCAAUCGACAAUCCACAUAUCAUAGAAUGGGUCGGCCUUGGUGCCUUAGACCCAUUGGUAUGGUGAGGAGACUCACCUCUCGAAAGUUGAACUAGUAAGAUGAAGUCAAAUAUAUACCACACACUGCUCCUUCUCAAUUACCUAUAAUCAUCAAGUGAUUAACUUAACACCAUCCCAUAAAUAUUCUCAGAUCAACCCUGGUCAAAGUCAAGGUCAAGGUCAAAGUACACAGUCUAGGUCAACAGUCCAUGUUGACCUCGACUCGUCGAGUAUAACCAACCACUCAUUGAGUUCCUUGCUUAACUCGUCAAUCGAGUUCCUUAAUGUCCGCGACUUCAAACUCUCAACCACAAACCCCUGGCCGUAAACUCUUUGGCCAUAAACUCCUUGGCCGCAAACUCAUUGGCCGUAAACUCCUUGGCCAACUCGUCGAGUCGAUUAAAGGACUCGACGAGUUCCUUUAGUGCUUCUCGUUUUCGGCAUUUUCUAGUGGAACCUAGAGUCCCAAACUUCAAAUCUAGCCUUCCCUAGUGUAGAUGUCACGUAAAGUUGUAAAAUUUAUGUGCAUGCAAGGCCUCACAUGGACAUGACACCAAAACUAGUCUUCAUAUAAGGUUUUAAUGCACGGAAAGGGAUUGAAUUACCUAAAGGAAACAACUUUAUGUCAUUGGGACCUAAAGAGGUCCAGAUCUGUAACCAUGUCCUUGUGAAAGGUUGAGAUCUGAGUUUUGACCCCAUUUUGCACCAAAAAUGGUCAUUUAUUACAAAAAGAAGAGAACCAAGCAACUAGAUAUCAAGAUGGCGACUUUUUACCUUAGGAUGAUGGCCAAUACAGAGUAACUUCCAAAUCUACUGCUCCUCACGUUGUUCCUUCCUCUUCCAACUCUAGGAUCCUUCAAAAAUGCCCUAAAAUCACUCACAAACGCUCUUACUCUCACUCAAGGGUGUUUACAGUCGAAAACUACUUUCUGUAGGGAGAUAAGGUGCUAGAGGAGGCCACAAGGGUAGUUAAUGAUCCUUGUAUAGGGGGAAAACCCCGAAAUUAGGGUUUUCCCUUUACAUCCAACUCGCUGAGUCGGGCCUUCCGACUCGUCGAGUUUAAAUGCCCCUACUCGAUGAGUUGGACUCCCAACUCACCGAGUCUAUGCACCAAAAACCCUAAAUUUAACUAAAACAAAUAAUACCUGGAACAUGUGUUCAAAGUCGCCCCCACUUAAACUAGACUUCGUCCUCAAAGUCUGCUGACCCAAACAAAUCUAGGUAGUGCUCUCGCAUUUCCUCUUCCAGCUCCGAAGUCCAUUCGGAGCCCCUUCGAUGAUGCCAUUGCAACUUUAUCAGUCUUACUUCCUUAUUCCGAAGAACCUUGGUCUUCAUAUCAAGGAUCGCAAUGGGCUUCUCGAUAUAGUUCAGGCUCUCAUCCACUUGAAUAUCGCCCAAUGAAAUAACUACGGACUCGCCAAUGACACACUUCUGAAGAUGUGACACGUGGAAGGUAUUGUGAAUCUGACUAAGCUCCUCUCACAGAUCCAAGCGAUAUGCCACCUUGCCCACCCGGGCCGUGAUCCUGAACAGGCCUAUGAACCGAGGCCCCAGCUUGCCCCUCUUGUACCACCCAUAAAAUUAGUGCUAAUCUAAAAAUUUUAAAUCAUUUAAAAUCAUUCAAUUAUUACUAUUAGUUUUCAAAAUAGUUUAAACAUCAGAGUUCCCAAAAAUCAUAAUCAUCGAUAGAGGAAGUGUACGGUCACACCUUCGCUUCCCUGCGGUCAUCCGCUGAACUUGAAACAAUAAACUAAAACUGUAAGACCGAAAACUUAGUGAGUUACUGUCACAACUGGCAUUUUGCUAGGAAAUUCUAUUCCCAUAUAAACAUCAUCCAUUGUAAAAGGCUAUACUUACUAAACUCUAUUCUCAUUCAAAUACAUCUCAUAUGUUCAACUAAGGGAUGGAAACCCUAGAAAUCCCGACUCAAAUUCAUUAUGGACUAGGAUUCUUUUAUUGGGCCUAAGGGACCAAUAAGUCAUCAACUCAUCAAUCUAUAACAUUUUGGGCCAUUUGGGCCUAGAAUGAUUCAUUCUACCUCUAAAUGGGCCUUAUUGGUCCAUAACAACUCCAAUUAACCUUAAUGGACUUUAGAACCCAUUCUUUUAUACUAUUGGGCCGUGAGAUACCCUAAAGGCCCAAUGGGUCGAAAGAUGUUAUGAUUAGGCUCCAAAAAUCCUAACUAAAGUUUAAUGGGCUCAAGCUAUUCCAAUUCCUAUCUUAUUGGCCCAAAAUUUCGGCCCAACACCAUUUAACAAAAAAAAGGAAAACAAAAUGAAAUAGGGGUUGACUUUUGGAUGUGCCACCUCAAUAUUGCAUGGUGGUCAUCCAUGCCAAAUACCCACCAUGCAAACUUAUCAAAUAUCUCUAUUAUAUUCUCUCUAUUCACGGCCAAACACUCAUCCCACCAUCCUCAUUUUUCUUUUAAACACUCUCAUACACUCUCAAGAACAUCCUUUCCUUCCACCCAAAAUUUCGAAGAUCUAGGGUGUUUUCAAGAGAAUUCUUCACCAAAAUCAUCAUCCUUGGUAAGUUUUUGCUUAGAUCCAUGGUCUAGUCUCUUGAUUACUUCAAAAAUCUCCUCUUAACUCAUGAAAUUUCGUGAUCUUGCAUCUUGGAACCCAUCUAAGCUCAAAAACCUCUCAAGAAGCUUGCUAGGGCCAAGAAUCACAUCAUCUUCUUCCAUUUCUUCUUCAAACCAAGAACAACAAAGCAAGGUGAGUUCAUACCCCCUUGUUUUCGGUUUUUACUUGUUUUUGGGGGAGAAUACAANCAAGGUGAGUUCAUACCCCUUGUUUUCUGUUUUUAUAUGAUUUUUGGGGGAGAAUACAAGUUGAUUUGUGUAGAUCUAUGUGUAUAUGCAUGACUAUGUGUGUUUUCCAUGAAUUAUUUGGUGAUUAUGUGUUGAUUUCUUCACUAAUCUAAAAAUAUGUUAAGAAACUUGAAGUUUAUCACUAGGAUCUUCAUAUGAAUCUUGAGAAAAGUAUGUUUUAUCACAAGUAUUACAUGUAAACAUGUAGAUCUGGGAUUUGUAUACUUGAUAUAGCAAAAAUAAGUGUUGUGUUCAAAGAUCUAUAAACUAAACUCACAAAACAGCCCUUGACAGAAAACUUUUGGUCCAAUCUCGGACUGUUUUGACCAUCCAAAUGGAAGUAUUUUUCAAAAAUGUUUUACAUGGAUAAAGUUCAGAUUUAUACCUUUAAAAUGACUACUCUCACGUUUUCAUACGAUUUUUCUACAAUUUUUGGCGAAUUUUACAAAACUGCCUAUCAUAUUUGAAAUAAUUUCGGACCAACCUGUGAAGAUGAGUAAUUUCACACUAGUUUGAAGCCAUCAAAAAUUAUGAGAAAAAUUGUGAACAAAGUAGACAAAAUUUCCAAACUUCCAAAAUUUACGGAUCCAGAUUUCGACUUACGAUGAAUUUUCUACAAAUUUUCUAAAAACUAGUUCGGAAAAGCCAAAAACCAGAAAAAUAUGUAUUUUCACAAAACCAAGCCAAAAAUGAUAUUUUUGACAAAAAUGGGUUUAAAAUGCUAUUUUUAUCACAAAGUAGUCAUCAACACAAGUUUUUAACAAAAUUGGAGAUUAAAGUGUUAUUCUUACAAAAAUUGGGCCUUAAUUGUAAAUUUUUGGCUUAUUGGGCCAAGAAUGUCAUUUUUACAAAAAGUGGGCUUUAGAUAUCAAUUAUGUAAAUAAUCAAGCUAAAAUAAACAAAACAAUAACAAACGGGUUAAAAACGACAUUCAUAUCCUUAUUGGGCCUGGAAAUAAUAUACAUGUUUAGUGGGCCUUAGUGUCCUUUUACAUGUAUAUUGGGCUCGAGAUAGGUAUUCAUAUCCUUAUUGGGCCUGGAAAUAAUAUACUUGUUUAGUGGGCCUUAGUGUCCUUUUACAUGUAUAUUGGGCUUAGGAUAGACAUUCACAUUCCUUUUGAGCCUGGAAAUAAUAGACACGUAUAGUGGGCCUUAGUGGUCCACUUACAUGUUUAUUGGGCCUAGGAAUGGGUUUUAUAUGCGUUAUUCUUUUUAUGCUAUUUUAGUGGAUACUAUUUGCAUGCUAUUUGGGCCUAUAAAUACCUUACAUGUGAAAUGGGCCUUAGUUGUCCUUUCACAUAUAUUUUGGGCCCAUGUUAUAUAAUCUCAUUCCCUUUAGGUCUUGAAAUGAUUUACAUGUUUAGUGAUGCCUUAGUGGUUCACUUACAUGGAUCAUUGGACCUAGAAUGAGUUUAUACAUUUUUCUUCGCGUAAAUUCGAUUAAGGAUCUAGCGAGUUUUUAUCGGUUGGCACCUAUUAAGUGUACGAUCGUAGCCUGUAGUUAUAACCAGAGUCUCUUGAAGGGAGAGCGGGGAUUUGUGUAUAGAUCUAUACGGGGAUGACACCCCACACCUGAGCUGUUCGCUACAGUUAGACUAACUCAGUCUAGGGUGACAAAAACCUUAUUCUAUAUUCCGUCGGCGUCCAACGAUGCCAAGACAGGUGAAAUUGUCAUAAAUUAGUAUGGUUAUGAUGGCUCGCUUAGAGGAAUUAACGUUAUGAAGUUUACGGAAGACCUUUCUAUAUAGGCAACAUCGGGUUGUCUAGGAACAUUCUCGUUACAUGCUCUUACAUUCUCUCUCUACAAUCUAUUUACCUUUUUAGUCAGAUAACAAUAACAUACAUGCAUUAAUACAAGAUCUAACACAAACACACUAAACAGUUUUCAGAAAAUAUCGGAUUUUCUGGUGGUUUUCAAAGUUAUACAAAUCAUUUUCACAAACAUGCUUAUGAACUCACCAACAUUUUUAUGUUGACCAUUUUCAAAAUAACUUGUAUUCUCAGGAAAUCGUUGAAGCGGGAUGAACAAAACAAACUAAUGGAUAUUGUGUUAUAUUUUGAUUCAUCAUACUCUUACUAUCUUGGCAUGUAAUAUUCAAAUAGAAUACUCGAUGUAAACAAUGAAUGUUGUAAUAUUACAUGUGUGAUGAUGAUGAUGUUAUGUUUCAAUUAUAUUCACUGUAAUGAUAUUUCAAGAUGAAGUCACGCACAAGCCCCCGGACGUUUCCACCGUCUGGUUCGGGGGUGUGACAGAUUGGUAUCAGAGCAUUGUUUAUAGUGAACUAGCAUAUCUAAUCAUACAUGAUAUGCAACUAUAAAUAAAAUGGGACUAAACAACUCUGAACAUAAUAAUUUCAAAUACAUACCUUUGUGUGCAUUUUAGAAUGAUAACACAACAAGAAUAGUAAAAGUCUUUGGAGGAUUUGAACAUCACUAUUAAACUCGGACAGUUAUGUAGUCGUAUUGGGGGUGAAUGUAACCGGAUCAACUACAUUCAUUCAAAAUACGACCAACAUGUGUUCGGGAGUAAUUGUGAUGGGCAAUGAAUCAAAAACUUACCAUUUAAUUAUCCAAAGAGCUUAUAGAGCCAAACCUAAACAAAAUUAAAUUACUAUAGGAGUAAUUGGUAUGCUAAUUGUUUCUAGUAUUUAUACCCCCUUCGUGCAAUACACUAUAGACGAGUAUCGUUAGCCAGGAAACCCCUAUCUCCCUAGUCAGGGAAUAGUAGGGUGGCUCGACUCAGAGGAGGAACCACAGGAGGAACACGAAGUAGAACUUGCAGGUGAACCCGCCGAGUCAAUAGUGGACCUCGAAGAGGAAGAGCCAGAGGGCAAUGAUGAUGAUGAAUCAGAUACAAAAUCUGAUGACAUCAAUCCUCCAUGUAAAGCCAGAGUACCGACAUAUCGUGUGGGUCCCGGUGGCCCCAUGCCCCUUAGGCACAUGAUAUUUAGAGAUAGAGUCACCAGCAGGGGAUACGACCACACUACGGUAGGAACUGAGGUCUCUUCGAUCUUAGUCGUAGAGGACCAGCUGACCGGGCCCUCCCAGUCAUGGUCCGGAGCACCUGAGGUAUGGAUAGCCAAGCUCAGGGACACCCCAAAUCAUCCGGAACAAAUGCGGUUUGCUAUUGAGAGAGACAAGAGACAAACAAAGGAAGUGAACGGAGACUCCCGAGCAAGACAGUUAGUGUGAGAAGUAAGACUACAAGAUACCGAACAACAAGUAGCUCAUCUCCGAGGAGCAUCCACUUCAUCAGCACCACCACCAGACACUUCCUGCCACAAUUAGGAUCAGCCUUUUCUACUUCCCCCUACUAUUCGACAUGACUCUCUUUCAUGUACUAAGAUAGUACUUACCACUGGAACAAUUAUGUGCUAUCUUUAUUUCAUAUUACCACAUAGACUCAAUUAUAUGCACAAGCGAACCCUCAAAACCGCUAGAUACUUAAGGGUCUCGAAACCAAAACAACCUAUAUACUCUAAGGAUAGACGUGACGAUCGUGCCAAAUCUGUGAUUACCUACUACCACAAAUACAUCAUAGGGAUGUAGAUGGAAGCAGUAAGAAUUAUACAACAAGAUGCAAAAUUUAUAGAGUACAACUAGGAAUGACGAUCAUUACUUACGAUCUGGAUUAUCAACGUGCAUCAGGAAAAUGCCAUCCCGCAAGAAUAACAAGCGCACCUGCGAGACACCGUUCCUGCAGAUGAACUCUGCUACAUUCCAAGCUGCUGUAACGGCGACAGUAACCGUUGCGAUGGCGCAAAUCAAUGCAAACAACCCCAAUGGAGGCGGGAAUAACAUUGACAACUCCAUCCAAAGGAACGAACAUGGAAACCAACAAGUGACAACCAAUCAAGGAACUCCAAACCCCAAGCUUAAGAGCAGGAAGCUGAGGUCUGGAAGUAAGAAAAAGGGACAACCCACUCAAGGGUUCUCAAGGAAGCAACAUGUUGUUGCUGUUCAUGCGACCAUGACCCCUAUUACACCAACAACCAGGAGACCAUAUGUUGGAAGCCUUCCAAAAUGCAACCAGUGCAAAUUCCAUCAUAACGGAGCCUGCCGGGAGAUGUAUUGUACGAAAUGCAACCGAAAGAAUCACACCGCCAAAUUCUGUAGAACUUAUCCAUGCCAAAAUCGCCAGCCAAACAAAAACGACAACAGUCGCAACAACCCUAACAACAACACCAAUGAUGAGACCAGUCACACCCGCUAUGGGUAUGGAGGAACCGGUCACUUCAGGCGCAAUUGCCCAAGGAUAACAAUCAAGGAGCAGAAGGAUCGGAAAUGGUCCUGACCUUGGGUCAAGGCGAAGCAGUCCAAGACCCAACGAUUGUUAUUGGUACGUUCCCACUUAACAACUCUUUCGNNNNNNNNNNNNNNNNNNNNNNNNNNNNNNNNNNNNNNNNNNNNNNNNNNNNNNNNNNNNNNNNNNNNNNNNNNNNNNNNNNNNNNNNNNNNNNNNNNNNNNNNNNNNNNNNNNNNNNNNNNNNNNNNNNNNNNNNNNNNNNNNNNNNNNNNNNNNNNNNNUAAAUUUAAUGCCAGUAAAUAUUAGGAGUUUUAAUGUGAUAAUUGUCAUGGUUGGGUUAAGCCCCCACCGUGCUGAUACUAUGUGUCGCGAGAGGGCCGUUUGCCUUCACCUUCCUAAUCACGAAACUCUGAUAACCCAUGGUGAUAAACCUAGCGUCAAUCCUCGUCCUAUCUCGUGCAUCAAGGCACAGAAGUGCCUGCACCAGAAGAACUACGUUUUCCUUGCUCAAGUUGUGGACAAGACCAAGGAAGAAGUAAGCAUACAAGGUAUUCAGGUAGCAUGUGAUUUUACGAUUGUAUUUCCUGAAGAACUUCCGGGAAUACCUCCAGAAAGACAGGUAGAAUUUCAAAUUGACCUAAUGCCGGGAACCACAUCAAUUGCCAAUUCGCCCUAUAGGUUGACUCCCGCCGAAAAUUCACAAGUUAUCCAGUCAAUUGAGAAGAAUUGUUGCGCAAAGGAUCCAUCGGACCAAGCUUCUCACCCUGGAGAGCUCCCGUCUUGCUCUUCAAGAAGACGGAUCCUUCCGAAGGUACAUCAAUUUUAGGAAAUUGAAUAAACUCCCUAUCAAAAAUCAAUACCCACUUCCUCGGACUGACGAUCUAUUUGGCCAGCUCCAAGGAGCUAGUUAUAACCAGAGUCUCUUGAAGGGAGAGCGGGGAUUUGUGUAUAGAUCUAUACGGGGAUGACACCCCACACCUGAGCUGUUCGCUACAGUUAGACUAACUCAGUCUAGGGUGACAAAAACCUUAUUCUAUAUUCCGUCGGCGUCCAACGAUGCCAAGACAGGUGAAAUUGUCAUAAAUUAGUAUGGUUAUGAUGGCUCGCUUAGAGGAAUUAACGUUAUGAAGUUUACGGAAGACCUUUCUAUAUAGGCAACAUCGGGUUGUCUAGGAACAUUCUCGUUACAUGCUCUUACAUUCUCUCUCUACAAUCUAUUUACCUUUUUAGUCAGAUAACAAUAACAUACAUGCAUUAAUACAAGAUCUAACACAAACACACUAAACAGUUUUCAGAAAAUAUCGGAUUUUCUGGUGGUUUUCAAAGUUAUACAAAUCAUUUUCACAAACAUGCUUAUGAACUCACCAACAUUUUUAUGUUGACCAUUUUCAAAAUAACUUGUAUUCUCAGGAAAUCGUUGAAGCGGGAUGAACAAAACAAACUAAUGGAUAUUGUGUUAUAUUUUGAUUCAUCAUACUCUUACUAUCUUGGCAUGUAAUAUUCAAAUAGAAUACUCGAUGUAAACAAUGAAUGUUGUAAUAUUACAUGUGUGAUGAUGAUGAUGUUAUGUUUCAAUUAUAUUCACUGUAAUGAUAUUUCAAGAUGAAGUCACGCACAAGCCCCCGGACGUUUCCGUCGUCUGGUUCGGUGGUGUGACAGUUACCCCAAAAUACCAAUACCACACAGAUAACCAUAUCAUGUAAACAUAUAAGAAACAGAACAACCAUGCAUCUCGAGUCUACAGUGUGAUUAGGUUGCCCGCACUGGGCCUUCAGUUCACUUGAAAUCAACGAAGCUAUACAUAAAACAAUAAAAUUUAAAAUGGAUGAAAUGUACGAAAGUAUAAACUCAACAGUUUCCCAACAUCAAUAUUUCAUUUAAACAUGAAACAGUUGGUUUACAUCAAACUAUUUACAAAAGAAACCUCACUACAAUCACACUCAACUCUCUAAUGAUCAUUCAAGAACAAAAUGAUACAAGAUCUAAAGAAAAUGAUCUUAAAACCCUAAUAGAAAGCUUUAAAUUGGAGGAACUCUGCGAGUAAGAAAACAACAAGAAUAAUAUCUGCCCUAAAUGAACUGCAACUUCAACAUUAAAUACAUUGGGGCAUAAAACCAGAUUCGGGUUAAGCAACCCGCGUAUUCAUCCUUACAUGCAUUAUCAAAAUAUACCACAACACCCCUCUACAACCAAUAAAUAACAUAAUGUGACCAAAAUAACAAAAUACCUCAAAUGAUAAGUUUGCAACUAAUAACACUUUUUAAGACCCCCUCUCAAACUUAUCAUUUGAAGACAUACUCAUUUUCCAGAAAAAAAGUUUAAAAGUCCAAGUCUUUUUGAGAAGAAUUCAUGUUGAAAAGAAGUUAAUGAUUUAGUUAAAAUAUCUGCAUUUUGAUUAGAAGAAUCAAUCUUAACCAACUUCAAAAUACCACUUUCAAUUUUUUCUCUCACAAAAUAAACAUCUAUUUCAAGAUGUUUUGUCUUCUCAUGAAAUACAGGAUUUAAAGCUAAUUUAAUAGCAGAUUCAUUAUCAUAAAACAAUUUAACAGGAGUUAAGUUUUUAAAACCAAGAUCAUUUAAAGCUUUUAAAACCCACAACACUUCACAUGUUACAGAACCCAAAGCACGAUAUUCAGAUUCAAUUGAGGAUCUGGAUACUGUGAUUUGUUUCUUACUCUUCCAAGAAAUAAGUGAACUACCUAAAUAUACCAAAUAUCCAGACACAGACCUUCUAGUUGAGAAACACUUAGCCCAAUCAGCAUCCACAUAACCAAUAACAUCAAAAACAUUAGAUUUAGAAAAUACCACACCUUUUCCAGGACAUUCUUUUAAGUAUCUUGAUAAUCUGAAAGCAACAUUUAGAUGUGAUUUCCUGGGCUUAUGCAUAAAUUGACUUAACAGUUGAACAACAUAACUAAUAUUAGGUCUAGUAACAGUUAAAUAAAUCAGUUUCCCUAUAAGUUUUUGAAAUUCAGUUAUAUUACUUACAAGAUCUGAAUUAUCAUCACAAUCUCUAUUAAACACAAAAUUAACUUCCAAAGGAGUUUUAAUAGGCUUACAGCCCAGCAUACCAAACUCAUGUAAUAAUUCUAAACAAUACUUCCUUUGAUUUAGGCAAACACCACUACCAGUAGAUAAAACUUCAAUUCCCAAAAAAUACUUCAAUAAACCUAAAUCUUUUAUUCUAAAUUGUGAUUUAAAAAACAAUUUAACAUUUUCAAUUUCUACACUGCUAUUAUUAGUUAGAAUUUUAUCAUCUACGUACACAAGUAAAAUGACAAUGGUGUUAUUUUUAAUUCGAACAAAUAAAGAAUAAUCAUUUAUGCUUUGAACAAAACCAAAACUUGACAGAGAUGAACACAAUUUUUCAUUCCACUUUCGUGGAGCCUGCUUUAACCCAUACAAAGACUUAACAAGCUUACACGCUCUACUAUCAUUUUUAGUAUGAUAACCUUCAGGCAAAGUCAUAUAAACAUCUUCAAUUAAAUCACCAUAUAAAAAAGCAUUAUUAACAUCUAAUUGAUAGAGAGGCCAAGAAUUAUUAACAGCCACACAAAUAACAAUUCUAACAGUAACAGUCUUUGCAACAGGAGAAAAAGUUUCUUUGUAAUCAAUCCCUUCUCUUUGAUUAUAACCUUUAGCAAUUAGUCUAGCUUUAUAUCUCUCAACCUCACCAUUUGAUUUGUACUUAAUUUUAUAAAUCCAAUGACAACCAAUGGGUUUUCUGUCUUUGGGAAGCUCAACAAUAUCCCAAGUAUGGUUUCUAUAUAAGGCUUCCAUCUCCCCAUUCAUGGCUUUGAUCCAGUUUGGAUCAGUAGAAGCUUCUGAAUAAGUACUAGGUUCAAAUGUUUUAUUAAUAUUAGACACAAAACAUUUACUAUCACUUGUUAACAAAGAAUAAUUCACAGAUUUUUCUAAUCAUGUGAGAACUUUCCACAACAAAGUCAUUAAAUCUUGUUGGUAAAUGAACAUUUCUACCAGAUUGAGUAACACCUAAUAAGUGAUCAUCAGAAGGAAUAUUUUGUUCUAAAAUACUAUCGUCAGCCAAAGUUGAUGAACUAGGAACAUCCACAACAUUCUGUUGCACACGUGCCUUGUCACUCUGGUUGCUGACCUCAUCAUUAGGGGUCUCAGCCAGGUUAUGAACUGCUCUAGUACCUUCAGACUGAAGGGUUAUUCCUAAGUCACCCAAACUAUUGUUUUCUUGAAGAGAACUAGAUAACUGAGGCUCAUCAUAGGAAAAUGGGUCACUUGGAUGAUACAAACUAUUAGUUCUGUCACUAACCAAAGGUUUAAGCUUGAACAGAAAUACAGUUUCAUAAGAUUUGACAUCCCUGGAAACAAAGACAAAAUUUGAAUCAAGACUUAAAACUUUAUAACCCUUUUGUUCCAAAGAAUAACCAAGUAAGACACAUUUUUUAGCACGUUCAGAAAAUUUUUCAGGAUUAUUUAGUUUUGUUGCAAAACAAAGACAACCAAAAACACGAAGUUUAUCAAAACUAGGAACAGAUUUAUAAACAAGUUUAUAAGGAGAGGCUCCAUUUAAUACAGAAGUGGGAGUUCUAUUAAUCAAAAAAACUGCUGUUAAAAUAGAAUCACCCCAAAAAGUCAAUGGCAGUCCUGACUGAAACAUUAGAGACCUAGCUACAUUUAGAAUAUGUCUAUGUUUUCUUUCAACCACCCCAUUUUGUUGAGGUGUAUGAACACAAGAAGUUUGAUUAAUAACACCUCUAUUUUCAAAAAAAACUUUUCAUGUUAUGAUUCAAAAACUCAGUCCCAUUAUCGGACCUAACCUUUUUAAUAUUAACUUCAAACUGAUUUAACAAAAUAUUAAAGAAUGUAGUAACACAAGAAAAUACUUCACUUUUAGACUUAAGCAAGUAAAUCCAAGUUGCCCUAGUGAAAUCAUCCAUUAUAGUAAGAAAGAACUUAUAACCUUUUGAAGUGAUCACUCUAUAGGGACCCCACACAUCUAGAUGAAUAAGUUCACCUAAACAAGAAGUAACAUGCUGACUAAUUGGAAAGGAACUCCUUGUUUGUUUAGCUUUAUGGCAAACAUCACAUGGAGGUAAGUACUCAUUUCCAAUUUAAGAUGAGUUUUUAAUGAAUUCAGAGCUUGAUCAGGAGGAUGACCAAGUCUACUAUGCCAUGUAAAUUUAGAAACAUAACAUACACCAAAAUUAGAGCUAAAGGAAUUACCAGAAGGUACACUAUCAACAUAAUAGAGUCCUCCAGAUUCACUACCAUUCCCCACCAUCUCCUUUGAGUGUAAAUCUUGAAUUUUACAACUAUGUUCAUUAAACACAACCUCACACUUAUUAUCUUUACAAACCUUGUGAACUGACAUUAGAUUUACAUUAAACUUAGGAACAACAAACACAUCAAAAAGAGUUAAGGAGUUUGAAAUAUUUAAGUUUCCAAUUUUUUCUAUUUAGCACAAGUUCCAUUAGGAUGAAUAACAAGAAGAUUAAGCUUAGAUACAUCCACUGUAUCAUGCAAGAGAGAUUCAGAUGCUAUCAUAUGUUGACUAGCACCAGAAUCAAGAAUCCAUUUAUUACCAUUAUAAGAUGAAUUACAAACAUUAAACAAGCAAGUACCUGUCAUAUUAGAACUGACAUAUGCUUCCUCAUUUGACUUUCUUUCACCUAUCAGACUAAGAAACUUGGCAUAUUGAUCCUUAGUAAGUUGAUGAAAUUCAGACUCUCCAGGAUCAGAUGAUACAGGAGUAACAACAAAUGAAUUUGCAUUAAAACUUUUAGCUUGACUAUUUUGAUUAACAUCACUCCUGGGUUUAUAAUCCUUUGGGUACCCAAUUAGCUUAUAGCAUUUUUCAAUUGUAUAUCCUUUUAAUCCACAAUUCUUACACUGAAUAGCUGAACCUUCACUUUUAUUACUAGAAUUACCAGAAAAUUUAUUAUUGAACUUACUAUUAAAAGCACUAGGUUGAUUCUUGGGACCAGAUUGAGAGUCAUUAGAAAGGGAUCCAUUCCUUUGAAGAGACUCUUCACGAGAUAUGAUUGAAAAAGCAGUUUUAACAUUAGGAAGUGGAUCCAUAAGCAAUAUAUGACUCUUAACUUGGUUAUAAGAGUCAUCCAAACCACUAAGAAAUUGCAUGAGUUUCAUUAAUUUAGAGUGAUCAUUUAGUUUAAAAACAGCCUCACAUGUACAUUCUGUAAGACUGAUUAAGCCAUCAAACUCCUUACACAAGGCAUCGAGUUUAUUAAAGUAAUCAGAAACAGAUAUACCACUUUGUUUUAAAGAAUUAAUUCUUUGAUGAACAUUAAAAACUACAUAUCCAUCAGCUUUAUUAUAAGUUUCAAAUAAAUUUUCCCAAAUUUCUUGAGCAUUAUCAGAAUAAGCAUGACUAGCAUAUAUUGAAUCACUAAUAUAAGACAACAACCAAGAACACACAACAACAUUUUCCCUUUCCCAUUUUGAUUCUUUAUGUUUUUCAACUUUAUCCUUUUUAAAAGUGCCAUCAACAAACCCUAGUUUGUUUCUAGCCUUAAGGGCUCUAGACAUAGAACUCCUCCAAAUACGAAAAUUUUCAUUUCCAGUUAGUUUCACAGUAACAUUAGUUGUAGUUGCAUUAUCAGAAGGUUGGACAUAGAGAGGAUCAUCAAAAUUAAUUGAAUCAUCCUUUCUACUUCCUCCUGGAGGAUCAGUUGAACCAACCAUACAAAAGGAAGGAACAACAAGUCACAAACAAAGCUCAAGAGAGAACAACAAUAAGUAAACAACAGAGUAAACAGCUAGUCAGUCAAGAACAACCAAACAACAGACUCAUGUAUUGACAUAAAGUCCAGAUGGUCACCACGUUUGUCGGGGCCCAAGACAAUCAAUACAGAGUCAACAAAACAAUAAGAACAAAACAAAUAAGAAUAACUGGUGUACACAAGACAACCAGGAUCUCCCAAUCACAGAUAUGAAAAAGAGUGAAAAAAAGGAACAAGAAACCCCUCACAAUGCUAUUAAGACGAAGCAAUCAAGGGACCGACUCUAUCUGUCCGUUCUCUACUUAGGAUUUAUCGGUGAUGAACUCCGACCCCUAGAGAGUUAUUUCAGACAAAUAGAUUAAUCGACUGAAGUUCAGCGGAUUCCAGUUCAACAAUUGUUCAAAGACCGAUUUUGUUUAUGCUUUGUUUAAAAAUCAGAGUAACAUUUUAAAUAAAAGUGUUGCGGAAUUUGUCCCAAAACAAAAUAUGAUAAAGUUUUAUCAAAAGCAUUUCCAAAGGAAUAUAUUUCAUUAAAAGACUCGGGAUGUCAUGUUCGAUACAGAUCAAAAGCAUAAAUAGUACAAUAUAAGCUUUACUACAUUAUUUCAUAUCUACAGGCCUAUAUCCGUAAUCCCUCAUCCAAGACAUCUCAUCUAUGCUCAUGCGUCACUACCUGUAAUACAAGAAACUGAGUGGGUCAGGCUUGGGAGCCUGGUGAGCACAUAGGGUUUUCAACCCACAAUAAAUAAGUUUAUUAAUUUCAUCAAUCAACGAUAACCCGAUUACCCGUUCCCGUUCUCCUCACAUUACGUCCCUAAACACCUAUUAUAAGGGACCUAUCCUAAGGAUCAUCAUCGGGAUGGACACUACUGCUAAGGGGAUUCCUCAGCAAUAAAUGUCCUAAAGGCAACCAUGUGGGGGAUGGAGUACACCGGUGAACACAUCGUUCACAAACACCUACAGGUUGCGAGCGCUGCUAGUGUUCCACUGGACUGUCUAGAAGAGUCCGUGGUCGUCAUCCAUACUCCGCUAGAUGACAGAAUCAACAACAUCAACAUCGAGGCCUCUCAUCAUUUUAUCACACAUAACCUAUUAAAUCUACCCAUGUUUUAUCCCAACAUUUUCGUAGAUAUAAAAUACAUAUACAGUUUAAAUCAUGUAUAACAAUGUUCAUCCAGCAUAGAUAGCAAGUAUUCAGAUAAUAUGCUCACAUAGCACGCAAUUUAUAUAAAAUACUUCAUAUCUAUGUGUAAGCUGAAAGUAACUAUGCACUCACUUGAAAGGUGGUGACUCAGCACUCGGACAACGCUUCGAUACUCUUAAAACAAUUUUCCUUCGAUAAAACCUAGUAUCAAUACCACUAAAGUUUAAUCUAACGAUAACCGCGACAAAUUAAUAGUCUGACUAUUAUUAUUAUUAUAUAAGUGUUAAAUAACACUCAAUAUAACUCAUAAUAAUAGCCCAAAUAAUUAUUUCAAGGACCUAAUAACAUUCCUAUAAUUAUUUGAAAGCUAUAUUAAAAAUUGCAUAAGCGUAUCUCACUUACAACGGAUUUUAAAGAAAACCGGAACUUUAUUUGGAGCAGCGUUUCGAAACCGAAAGACCCUUUUUCUCGGGACUCCGGGAGCCUAGGGUCUUCCCUCGGGUGCUAAGGGUUUUAUCUAGGGCUUAGGAUGGUUUAGAACUCUUAGAGAGAGAAAUAUUGUAGAGAUAGAAUGAGAAAAUGUGAGAAAAAUCCGGAGACCCUCGCCCCCUUUUAUAGCCUGCGAGCCUCGGACGUAUGCUGGGCGUAGUCAUCGGAUAAAGGUUGCCAGCCGAAGCCAACUGUCUUGCACUCGGAGCGGAGAAGAGCGAGGGUACGUGGGGCGUAGGCGAAGCGACGUGUCGCAAAUCCGAAGCGAAGCGUGAUCAGCAAGCGACGACCCUGAUUGAGCCAUGUCAUCACCCUCGCAACAGAUUUCGCAAAUUCAUUUUCCGACUUCUAAAAAUCAUAACUUUCGCAUACAAGCUCCAUUUUCGACGUUCUUUAUAUCCACGCGAAGGUGGGAAUGUACUUUACAACUUUCGCUUAGACUCUGUUGGCUAAUUUUGAAUCGAUUUUAAAUUUUAUAUUAUUAACAGGCCGGGACAGGAUUGGUCCGUUAAAUCCUCAUAACUUCUUCAUCCUACGUCCAUUUUCGCCCAUCUUUUUCUCGUUAUGCUACUCUUAAUGAGAUCUUCGAUUCUCGUUUAGGUCGUGUCGGCUAAAAAUCACUCGAUCUAAUAUUCGAAUUUCGGGCUAUACACUGCUAAGCCGAAACUUCGAAAAAUCAUAACUUCUUCAUACGAAGUCAGAUUUGGGCGUUCUUUUCAUCGACGNCUACGACUUUAGUUUAGAUUGCUAAGGCUAUAUCUUGCUCUAUCGUAAAUUCGCUAUUUACGAUUCCCGGUAUCGUGUCGGUUCUGUUGCGAAACUUUGACGGGUCAUAACUUCUUCGUUAUAACUCGGAUUUCGGCGUUCUUUAUAUCCCCGGAAUCCUAGUUUCAACCACUACAAAUUUAUAUAAAGAUAUCAGACUUAUCUCUUACUUUAAUUUUGACGCUUAUUUUUAUUCUUUAUUAAUUAUACAUUUAUAAUUAAAUAAUAAACACAUAAAUACACACAAUUCACAUAAUACUCAAAUAUUUUAUCUUUAUUACUUCAAAAAGAGUUACAAUAGUUGACCUAGACUAUUACAUCGUCAAAAAUACUUAGCCCUGAAACCCGGGCGUUACAAGUGACCCUGCAAGAAACCACAGAAACACUCACAGUACCAGGACCAUAAAAAACAAAUAUAAGAUCCGCUAAAAGAAAACCCUAAAUCGAAACAAACAACUGAAACAAAUCAGUUUUAGUAAGAGAUCCAAAAGAGUUAUAAAACCUUUUAGAUCUAUGACAAUAGGUAAAGAAGAAAAUAGAAUAAAGGAUUAGAAACAACCUUUUAUGACAUCUUCAGAAGAUAAAAAACCUCCGAUGAACACCGACGAAGACGGCGAUGUUUGAUGAACACCAACGACGAAGACGACGAACCCUAACGCUUUGAUACCAUGUACGAAAGUAUAAACUCAACAGUUUCCCAUCAUCAACAUUUCAUUUAAACAUGAAACAGUUGGUUUACAUCAAACUAUUUAUAAAAGAAACCUCACUACAAUCACACUCAACUCUCUAAUGAUCAUUCAAAAACAAACUGAUACAAGAUCUAAAGAAAAUGAUCUUAAAACCCUAAUAGAAAGCCCUAAAUUGGAGAGAACUCUGCGAGUGAGAAAACAACAAGAAUAAUAUCUGCCCUAAAUUAACUGCAACUUCAACAUUAAAUACAUCAGGGCAUAAAACCGGAUUCGAGUUAAGCAACCUGCGUAUUCAUCCUUACCUGCAUUAUCAAAAUAUACCACAACACCCCUCUACAACCAAUAAAUAACAGAAUAUGACCAAAAUAACAAAAUACCUCAAAUGAUAAGUUUGCAACUAAUAACACCUUUUAACGUGAAAUCAAGAAUGAGCUUUUAGAACAUAUAAUUACGUAACAAUUACCAAUUAUUUCAAAAAACAAUAAAUACUUCAAUAUAAAAUCUAUCAUUGUAUUUCUUAAUCACAGCAAUGCAUAUGUAUUGGGCUUUCUUAAUUUCAAUAAGAUAGAGUUUUGAAUAUUAUAAUUUAAUAAAUAAAUACUUUAAAGGUAACACUAUAUACAAUUUAAACUAAUUACUCAAUACAACUCAAGAGUUUUUUAAAAUUAUGGUUAUUAAAUGAUAUUUAUGAUGUAUAUAUGGUUCACAAACAUAUGGUGAAAACCUAUCUUUUAAAGAUUUAACCACUCAAAUAUUUUAUAACUUAUAUAUGUUUUAUAACUUAUAUAUUAUAUUUAAUAAUCACUUAAUGUAAGUUUAGUAUAAAUAAUUUAAUCUCCUCAAAGGUUAUAUUAAAUUUUUGCGCAAAGCACGUAUACGUCUAGUAUGAAAAAUAAUAUUAACGGACAUCCAAAUUAAGGGUGGGUGACUCCUGAUUCACCAAAAGGCCAUCUAAUGUUGUCCGAGCCGCCUCUUUCUAUUCCUGUUGGUUUGGUUUUCUGACCUUUCUUCACCCAAUCCAAACCAAAAUGACAAAACACGAGAUGUGAUGAGGAGAUUUAUAUUAUAUAUAUACUAGUCCAUGGUUUCCUUCAUUGUAUAUAUAUACACACACACGUAUAUAUAAGUGUUGAUUAAGGCAACCUUGUGUGUGUCUCACUUUUCUCAGGCAUACACAAGCAACUGGGAAACGGAUCAACGACUAAAGCCAAGCUUCUCCCAACCAAAUAUAUGGCGACCUCAGUCGAAAACCGCAACUUCCGCCACGAGCUUGGUGUAUCCGCCGCUGGUGCAGUGCGUUCCGAGUCACCCAUCCAUGGAUUCAACUAUCCAGCUGUUGCUAGAGAGUUUAUGACGCCUAAGAAGCUUCCCCCUGAAACUUACGAUUCUAGUGACGAUGAGGAAGACGAAGGAGACUAUCGUGAUGCCAUUAAGAAGUCCAACUCCGAGUUGGAAAGCUCCGUUUUUGACUCCAGAGAUCAAGGCACUGCGGAUCAAUGGAUCGAGCGCAACCAAUCAAUGGUUCGACUCACUGGAAAACACCCAUUCAACGCCGAGCCACCUUUGACUAAGCUCAUGCAACAUGGGUUCAUCACCCCUGCUCCUCUUCAUUACGUCCGCAACCAUGGUCCAGUUCCGAACGCCACCUGGGAGGAUUGGACGGUGGAGAUAUGCGGUUUGGUUAAACGACCUGCGCGUUUCAGCAUGACUCAGCUUGUCAACGAGUUUCCCAGCAGGGAGUUUCCGGUGUCGUUAGUCUGCGCUGGAAACCGCCGGAAAGAGCAGAAUCUGACGAAACAAACCAUAGGGUUCAACUGGGGCGCCGCCGGUAUAGCGACCUCGGUUUGGAAAGGGGUGCCAUUGGUCAGCAUCUUGAAAAGAUGUGGGAUUUAUAGCCGGAAGAAAGGCGCGCUCAGUGUGUGCUUUGAGGGGGCGGAGGAUCUACCCGGCGGAGGCGGUUCCAAAUACGGAACCAGCAUAAAGAUCGAGGUUGCAAUGGAUCCGGCGAGGGAUAUCAUUUUGGCUUACAUGCAAAACGGAGAAAAGUUGUUGCCUGAUCAUGGAUUCCCGGUGAGAAUGAUUAUUCCGGGAUGCAUCGGUGGAAGGAUGGUGAAGUGGUUGAAGCGUAUCAUAGUAACGACGCCGGAGUCGGAGAAUUAUUACCACUACAAAGACAACCGUGUGUUGCCGUCGUACGUGGAUGCGGAGUUAGCCAACUCCGAAGGUAAUUCAUACAGUAUUUUAUACACGUAUUUUUUUUUAAAACAUAUAUUACUAUUAAACUACAUCUAAUUCAUAGCUGUAUCUCAUGCGUGACUUCAACUUUCAAUCUAAGAGCAAAAGGCUAACAAUACUAAAUACUAACUGACAAUUACUAAUACUAGUUGCCAAUUUUCAGACUAGAAUAAGCCUUUUGAUUAUAGAAUCAUUGUCUGAUAUAUAUACAAUAUAUAUAAUUCAUGCAUAUCAAUGAAUCAUAAUAUUUUUGUGAUUUUGACUUUUAGUAUGAUUUGAUUUGAAUUAGGUUGGUGGUAUAAGCCAGAAUACAUCAUCAACGAGCUCAACAUAAACUCGGUGAUUACAACACCUUGUCACGAAGAGAUUUUACCGAUAAAUUCAUGGACUACUCAAAGACCUUACACCUUGAGAGGCUAUGCAUAUUCUGGUAAUAAAUUAAUGUUUUUUUAUCUCUUAAUUAUUAACAUAUAGUAGUUUAUUUUAUGUCGCAUUAAAAGAUAUUUAGUGAGAUUCCGUGUUUGAAUUAUUCAAUAAUUAGUUAAUUACCACUGGUUACGUUCGCAAAAUAAUCACAGCUACUCUUAUUGUAUAUUACUUUUUACAAAAAAUAAUAAAACAUCAACUGUUUUUUAAAGCCUCCGGUCAUCAUAUAGUAAUCUUGAUUUUUAAAUUGUUAACUUUAGUUUUUUUAUUUAAUGUUUUUUUUAAUUGAAAGAUAUUUUAAGAAUAAUAAAACUUCGCUUAAGGACACUGGAUUUAUAGAUACGGAUUAUACGGUAAAAAAAACAAGCUUCACAUGACAUGACAACUUACAAGUUUGCAAAUACCACUUGUCGUGAUAAAAACUUCAAAGGAAUAUUUUGACUUAAAUGAUCAAUUAACUAGUUGAUUAAUUAUUCUAAAGUGCUAAAGCAAUUAAUUACUAUAUAUACCUUUCAUAUUCUAUUUUGUAAUUUACAUAAACAAAACCAAGCACAUUAAUUAAAUAUCAUAAGAAAAGAUGACCAGUUAUAUUAAUUUGAAGAGUCAAACAAUAUAUUAGUCUUCAAGUGUGUUGGAUAUAGGAUUUGACUUUUAAUUAAUUAAGAGAAUUGAAUUGGGUGAUUCAUAGGAAGUGGGAAGAAAGUGAUACGUGUCGAAGUAACAAUGGAUGGAGGAGAGACAUGGAACGUUUGUACAUUGGAUCAUAAAGAGAAGCCAACAAGAUAUGCCAAAUAUUGGUGUUGGUGUUUUUGGUCGUUAGAAGUUGAAGUUUUGGACCUUCUUAGUGCCAAAGAGAUAGCAGUUCGAGCCUGGGAUGAGACCCUCAACACCCAACCAGACAAGCUCAUUUGGAAUCUAAUGGUAACCUACUUACUUUUUCAUGAUACAUUUAUAUUUCUUUUUUGGGUUUAAUGUAUUUUGCUAUAGUUAUUAAGAUAUUAGGUUUUUUUACUACUCUAAAAUCAAUUUUCCAUUCCAUAAAGUUUUACUUAAAAGUAAAAUACAUUAUUAUGUCAAUUUAGUUACCAAACUAUCACUAUAUAUUUAUUAUAGUAUUAACAAUUAUUAAUAGAUCAAUCAAUAUAAAAUAAAAAAUGAUCAAAAUAUAUCAUAUUUUUGUUAUGUUUUGUUCAAAUAUAGAAAAAUGGAGAACAAUAUGGAAAACCAAUUGACUUAUGUGAUAAAAGAAUUAUAUUAAUAAACUAAUGAAAAUUGUUGGUGUAUAUAUAAUUUUGUCUGCAGUCAAACAAAUAUCAAAAUUAUACGAACAACAUUUAUUUCAUAUUGCAAAGCUAAUUACAUUGAAUUUAUACAGGGUAUGAUGAACAACUGUUGGUUUAGAGUGAAGACCAACAUGUGUAAACCACAUAAAGGCGAAAUUGGCAUCGUCUUCGAGCACCCAACCCAACCUGGAAACCAGUCUGGUGGAUGGAUGGUGCGUGAGAAACACCUCGAGAUUUCAACAGAAUUAGCACACCCAACUCUCAAAAAGAGUGUAUCAUCUCCAUUCAUGAACACCGCAUCUUUAACCUUCACCAUGUCUGAAGUCAAGAAACACAACUCCGUUGACUCUGCAUGGAUCGUCAUCCAUGGCCACAUCUACGACUGCACUUCCUUCCUUAAAGAUCAUCCAGGUGGCAGUGACAGCAUACUCAUUAAUGCUGGAACUGAUUGCACCGAAGAGUUUGAUGCAAUUCAUUCAGACAAAGCCAAGAAACUGUUGGAGGAGUACAGAAUCGGUGAGCUCAUAACCACGGGUUACAGUUCGGAUUCUGCUGCAUCAUCACCAAAUAACUCCGUCCAUGGUGCCACCAAUUACAUCACGUCACAUUUAGCCACCAUCAAAGAAAUUACACCCACAAGAAACGUAGCCUUAAUCCCUCGUGAAAAGAUCCCUUGCAAACUCGUUUCAAAAACAUCGGUUUCUCAUGACGUGAGGCUAUUCAGGUUUGCCCUCCCAUCAUUGGAUCAUGUUCUUGGGUUACCAGUAGGGAAACAUAUAUUUGUAUAUGCCACCAUUGAUGAAAAGUUGUGCAUGAGGGCCUACACACCAACAAGCACCAUUGAUGAAGUUGGCUACUUCGAGUUGCUGGUUAAAAUCUAUUUCAAAGGUGUGGAACCCAAGUUUCCGAAUGGAGGGCUCAUGUCGCAAUAUCUAGAUUCAAUGACACUAGGUUCUUUAUUGGAGAUCAAAGGUCCAUUGGGUCACAUCGAAUACAUUGGUAGGGGGACAUUUUCAUUUCAUGGUAAACAAAAGUUUGCCAAGAAAUUAGCCAUGUUUGCAGGUGGAACGGGGAUCACACCGAUAUAUCAAGUGAUGCAGGCGAUCUUGAAGGAUCCAGAGGAUGAUACAGAGAUGUAUGUAGUGUAUGCAAAUCGAACCGAAGAUGAUAUAUUGUUGAGGGAAGAACUGGAUGCAUGGGUAUAUAAGUAUAAAGAAAGGGUGAAGGUGUGGUAUGUUGUUUCUAAGUCGAUAAGAGAAGGGUGGAAAUACAGUGAAGGGUUCAUCACCGAAGAUGUCAUGAGGGAACAUAUUCCGAAGGCUUCUGAAGAUACAUUGGCUUUGGCUUGUGGACCACCACCCAUGAUUCAGUUCGCAAUCAACCCUAAUUUAGAAAAGUUGGGUUAUGAUAUAAAGAACUCUUUGCUUGUGUUUUAGAAGAUCAUAUUGUAUUGUUAUAUUAGAUCUUGGUUAAAUUUUUAUUUCAAAUAUAAGAUAAAGGCCAUAUAUAUGUACAUACACUUGUACUUAUAAUCAUAUUUCUAUACGAGGGAGCUUAUUAAUAAAAAAUCAUAAUAAUUUUAAAGCGUCUUUUAAGUCAUCCUCUUAAAUCAAGUGUCUCCCUUUGGUUAUUCUUGAUAGUUAUUUUCAAGGAUUAAUGUCAUUAUAGCCCAACCAACUAUCAGGUUUUGUUUUAAAUAGCCCCUUAUGUUUUUUUAGCAUUUAAAGGGAAUAAAAUCCAUGUUAACCUGUUUAUUAAGGACCUAAAACCUGUUUUAAGGCACCUUCACCUUUAAUCCCAAAUCACCAUCCAAUCAUCUCCAUCCUAGAAAAACCAUUGCUCCUUCAUAUGUGUUGUUUUUCUUUUCCUAUGAAUCACAACUUAUAUAUUCAAUACAUUGAUUUCUCCAUCUCACUAAUUCAAGAUUGUGAUUAGAAAUCUUCGUGCUGUGAUUCCAUUAGAUGGAUUUAUUCACGAUUUUAGAUGUUCUUCAACACAAGUCUAUGAACUUCAAACUCCACCACCAACCAUCUCCCACGAUCAACCCACCACCAUCGUCCUCUUACUACCAAUCACCAUCAUCGUUCACCUGCAUUAGAUUUGAAAAAUGAUUUAAAUCACAAUGCAACAACCCUUACAAGAGGAGUGAUAUACACGAGAGAAGAUGUUAAAGACCCGUCAUUUUAGAUUUGAAGCAACGAACAUAUAUCGGAUUGGUGUUCUGCAUCACGAUCUGUCAUCUUCAAACCCAAUAUCUUUCCUUAUUUCCAGAUUUAGGUUGUAACGGAGCUGAGGAAAUUCAGAUGUUCUAGAAACUGAUGGGUUACAUUUCAAGCAAAAUUGAAGAGGUUAACUCCAUAUUCUCUAUCAAUUUUAGGACUUCUAACAUGUCUUCUUUGCAGAUCAAUUUGAGAACAUAACAAACUACAAAGAUCACUAUAAAGGAACUAGGUCUGAGAUAUGGGAGGAGACAAGAGGCAAAUUACAUGCUUUUGUUGUACAUGCAGGGACAUGUAGCACUCUGGGUAGUGUUUCUUGAUUUUUAAAAGAAAAUGAUCCAAUGGUAAAUUGUUAUCUUGUGGAUCCUCCUAGUUCUGAUUUGUUUAACAAAGUUACAUAAGAAGUGAUGUACACAAGAGAAGAGGUUAAAGAACCCAUUUGAAAUUGUCACAUAAGGAAUAUGGAUCAAUAGAUUGACUGAGAAUUUCAAAAUGGCCCAACUUGAUGGAGGGUUCUAAUAUUUUUGUUCCUUUUAUUAAAUUCCUUCUAAAGAAUGAUGAACUAUUUGUUAGAUGUUCUUCAGUAAUGAAAUAUGUUGGACCUGAUGUGGCCAAUAUUAUUGGUGAUGCUGAGAGUACAACCCACUACUGUUGGUGUCUCCAUGGAUUUUAUUUGGUUUGAAGUCACAACCUUGAAAGGCAUAAUCAGAUAUAAUCAGAUAGCUACAGUAGCCGUCGAAAGUCAAUGAACAUGUAGGUGAACCAUGAGAGUACAUUGCAUAAUUAGACCUUAUUUGGAACAUAAACCUAAUAAAAAAAAGGUUAAAGUGACCAAAUUGGCCAGUAAUAAUCAAGUUCAUGCCCUUGUAAUGCCAAACUUUAGAUUGAUGGACCUUUUAAACCAAAUCAUGUUAGUUUAUAGGUUUAUAGUGACAUUUUCCCUAUUUUCAAUAACCAAAAACAUAAAACUCCCAAAGCUUGAUCUUGAAUUUGAUUAUACGAAAUAAACAAAAAGAAAUUACAUACCUUCACUAUAAGAAUGAAACUCUAUAGAGAUGAAACCUAUAGGUAAAACACAUUUUGUCGUGAUUAAGGGCAUGUAGGGAACAACAUGUCAUCGUAAUAGGGUUGAACAACAUGUAACACUCACGAAUUUAGGGUAAACAUUUUAAGGGUUUAUAAAUUAUAUAAAAUAUAUUUAUACUACAUACAUGUUUUAUGGUCAAAGAUUAUGGGCUUAUAAUAUUUGAAUACAACAUAUCUAGAAAUUAACAAAUUAUGUCAAAUAAGUGUCUAAAAAUAAAAGACUAUUUAGGAUAAAUAGUAUUGAUGAAAGUUGUAGUUGUUGUUAUGAUGAUUUUUUGGAUAUAAAGAACGUUUAAAUCUGACUUCGUAUGAGGAAGUUAUGAUUUAUCUAAGUUUUGUGUUCAAACCGAUAUGACAAGGUGCGCUAUAAAAAGUGAAUCAGAGAUAGGUUGCUUUUUAUCCUAAGUGAUCUAAAAAAAAUUGUAGUGCUCGUUAAUAGGAACUUGUCCAUGUAAACAACACUAAAAUCAAUAUUCGUAUGAAGAAGUUAUGAUUUUUCAAAGUUUCGAGUGUGACAUAGUACAAUAGUGUGCGAUACAGAAAUCGAAAUUUAAAAGUAGUUGAUUGUUAGCCAAAAAAAUGUAAACAAGAGUUGAAGAUUUCAUAAGUAUGAAUUUUCGGUAUAAAGACAGUCGAGAACGGAACUCGUAUGUGAGGUAUAUAAGAGAAACUUGGUCCCUAAGUUUCAAAACAAAGGCGAAAUCUGUUUAGAUUUGUAAAAUUGAAAUAGACUGAGAAUUAUCUUACAAUGUCUAAAUGAAAGUUGUAGUACACUUCAAUAUGAGACCAACGAUAUAAAGACAAUUGAAAAUGGAAUUCAUAUGAAGAAGUUAUGAAUUUCAUAGCGUUAUUUAUAGUCUAAAAUUCCUCGAACUGAAACACGAAAAAUAAAGUGAAAAGUAGCCGACGAAGUCUAAAUCAAAAUUGUCGUACUCGUCGAUACCUACGCAUAGAUAUAAAGAUCUUUGAAAACGGAUCUUGUAUGCGAAAGUUAUGAAUUUUACAAAAUAAUUAAAAAUCAGAUGGCCCAGAUGAUGACAUGUGGCACGUUUUACGUUUUACAUACACGAGUACUAUAUUAAGUAUCCCCCUCCUACUUAGAUAGUCAUAUAUAUUCUGUCUGUAUUGGAUCACUUCUAGGUAUGUCUAGGUCAGGCAGCCUAUAGGUGCCUGGAUGACCGGUCUAUAUCAAACAGAAGGAUUAUAAGUUAUCUACCAGAGCGAGAUGACGACCACUUACAAACCUAGUCUUGUGGAAUACACUAAAAGACUUAUAGUCUGUAGAUGUUAAUGAAUUAUGUGUUCAUUUGAUGCACUCCAUCCCCCUUAUAGUUACCCUCAUUGAUUAGUGCCUGCUACUAAGGACACCCCAAGGCAAUAUAGUCAAAUAACUAUUUACAGUGAUCCAUCAGGAUAGAUCUUAUAAGAUCACUGUAUUAGGAUAAGUAUGUGAGGAUUGACAACGUUGGUAGUUUCAGGGAAAUGUUUUCUAGAUGAUUAUGUUGAGUUGUUGGAUGAAUUUUUUUUGCAGGUUAUUGAUGAAUAUAACAUUUUGGGAUUCAAAACCCUAAGUAACUCAUCAUGUUUCCCAACCUGACCCACUCAAUUUUGAUGCAUCACAGGUAGCGAUGUUAAGACUGCUGAAGAUUUAAAUAAGAUGUUGAGUGAUUGGAGAAAAGACAUGCAAUAGAGUUCAGGACCACAAGUCUUUACGCUGUAACUAUGUUGUGUAUUGAUUAUGACAUCCUUAGAGUUUUGUAUUUUGAAACAUCUGUAAGUUUCCGCAAUUUUUUUAUUAUACUGAGAUUUUCCGCAAACAAACAUGUUAUGGAUUUUCAAAGUGUAAAGAAUUUUUUUGUGGGUUCUUGAAAAUAGGGAUAGCUACGUCCCCGACAUAUUGUCUCUAUGGGUAAGGUGGGAAUGAAAAAAAUGUUGGCUGGUUUCCAAAAAGCUAUAAGGAUGAUACAUCAUCCCAAAAAGAAAUUAAAUUAAAUAUAUAAAUUUAUGUUAAUCUUUUUAAUUGUAAAUUUGGCAUUUUGUUUGAGGGUGUAUGGAUAACAAGUUGUCCUUAUAUGGUCUAUAGUCUCUAAAAUUUGAGUAAGUCUCUAUUUCUCUUUAACCGAUCGCAACUCUAAAGCCCUUCUCUUUCACUCUCUUAGGACAUUAGUACAAAAAUCGACAUUGGCCAACAAAAAAAGUGUGGCCAUAUGUUGUUAGCCACAUUUUAUUUUUUCAGCUCAAAUGUGAUUAAAUGUUUUUGUCCUUUUAGGUAUCAUACGACCACAUUGAAAUAUAGUUGUAAUAUCUCAAAAUUUUAAACCAAAUUUUCUUUUUUAAUAUAAAGGAAAACCAUACUAAUUUUAGUCUAAAAAGAUAAUCAACCAAUUGUUCACAUCAUUAAAUUAGAGUCAUAAUAAAACCAAAGUGCAGAAAUUUCAACAAUACAAAAUCAGAUGUGAUGCCAACAUGCCGUGCCUUUCCACUUGCUAGAAGAAGUAUGCAGAAGCACCUGAAACAUUUAAAAUUUAAACCAUAAUCAUAAACCUUAGUGAGUUCCCCAUGAUACCACUUACAUCACAAGUAAUCAUACAUAAGUGUAACAGAUUUAUUUCAACCAUGUGAAUGCUACAGGUCGUACAUAGUCUCACAAUCACUUUUUGCUAUGUAUCAAAGAUAGUCUUUCCUGCUAUGUGCCAAACAUAGUCUUUCAUACAAGUGUUAUGGGCUAAACAUAGUCUUUCAUGCAAGUUACAAAGAUAAUCAACAUAUAGUGUCCUAUACGAUAUAGUGAGAAGACUGGCCUGAAUCAGAGCUGAAACCAAACUACUCGAAGUCUCACAGAACCAGGUACACAAACCACCUAGACCAUCAAAGCCAUAAUCCUCUGCAUAUAACUCAAAACCUCCAAGUUUGACCAAAAGUCAAACUGGUAAAAUAGUCAAUGAUCAAAGUUAGUGGUUAACGGUCAACGUCCUCCACACCACGGCCAACCCCAUGGUCACACCGUGAUGGCAUCCCAAAAAAUAGUUGCGACUGCAACGCAUAACCAUGAUGCAGAAAAUCCUUGGCCACAUUGUGAGUAUUCUGGAAGAACACAACUUCAUUAAAUUCUUAAUUCUUAUAGAUCGAGCCUUGUCUCUUCAGAUAUAAAUAUUUUCAAUGACUUAACGUCUAAAGUGUGACAUCCCCUAUUUUAAAGAACAAAAAAGCUUUUCUUUAUGCUUUUAAAACCAUGUUUUUUUGAAAGCGUGUCAUUUUAUUAAAACAUUUUGAGUAUAAAUGAUGUUCCAAAAUACUAAAAACUCUAAGGAUUUCAUAAGCAUACAGAUAUAUCAGUCCUAAAUACUAUUGCAAGUUGUCUCUUCAAUCACUCAACAUCAUAAUCAACUUCCAACAGCCUUAGUACCACUACAUGUUAUGCAUAGAAUUUGAGUGGGUCGGGUUUGGGAACCUGGUGAGAGACAUAGGGUUUUUGAUCCCACAGUAUUAUUAUGAUAAUAAAUCAUAUAUAAAUAUCCUGCAAAACCAACGCUACCAAUAAUAUAGAUAUAUAAUCCAAAAAAGAUAUUUAUAAGAUAAUAUACACCUACAUACCUAGCCCAAUCGAUUUUCAUAAAUCCUAAUCAACGAUCAUCUGGAAGAAUCGCCUUAUCCGAUGAAUCAUUUAGAGCAACAACUUGACUACACAACCAAGGGAAGGGGACAGAGUACCCGAAUGAACACACAAUGCUUUUCCCUGGAUGAGAUUCAUUAACAUAUACAGAUUGUAAGUCUGCUAGUGUUCCACAAGAUUGUCUAGAAUAGUAAGUGGUCGUCAUCUAUAUUCUACUACAUAACUAGUCCCAAUAGUACAAUAGUACAAUUUUGGUCGUACCUGAAAAGUUUUAUAGGUUAUAAAUCAAUGCAUGAGGAAGAAAUAACUUAACCCUUAAGUUCACAUGCAACCUAGUUGUAUCUAAGUUUUCUCUAUUGAGAACAAUAAACUCAUAAUAUCUAGAACUCUAAGGAGGCCCUACUAUUAUCAAACUUCACAUAGAGUUAGGGUUUACAUACCUUUUGAUUAUUAUAGUAAAUAAUCAAAUCAAGUCCUUUCUUCAAAUGCCUUGGAAAGCAAGCAACAAAAUAUUGAUGCCUCUAAUGGUUUAUACCCAAACCCUAGCAAUUAGAAGACUUGAGGAGAGAGGAUGAAAUUUUUGGCUCUAGCCUUUCUCAAAGGAGUGUAUGAAAAAUAGGAUCCUAAGGGUCAUAUUUAUAGCUGAUAUAAGGUGCCUUGGAAACCCUAAUUUGAAUAUAAUACUAUUAUUUCAAAUUAAAUAAUUAUCCAACUUCCUAAUUAUCUUCAAGGGAUAAUUCUAGAACCCUUAAAGGCUCUCCAAAACUGUCCCCUCCUAGGAAGGUUUUGGAACCUUUCUAUUAUUCAACUUUUGAACAAUGACAACUUAGUCCCUAUAAUUUUCUAAAACCCUUAUCUUUAAGGGAUAAUUCUAGAACCCUUAAAGGCUCUCCAAUUCAUUUCUGAUUAAUUCUUAAUUAAAUAUUACUAAUUCUAAUUAAUAUAUUAAUAUCAUAAUAUAUUAAAAAAUUAUUUAUUGCUAUUUAUUAAUCACAUAAUAAAUCAAUAAAUCAACCUCUCUCUUUAAAAGUCAUUAUAGUCAAUUGCUAGUUCUGAGGGCAACCCAAAAAGGACUUUGCUUUUAAUUCAAGUAUAUACCAAUUUAGUUAUUAGAUUAGAAACCUUAAUCUAACAGCCACCCACUUGGAUAAUUUUGUAACUACAAUUGAAAAUAUAACUUCUAAAUUAAAAAGCAAAGUGUGCUUUCCAAAGCAACUGUCGAACUCUGAUCCAAUCAGAAAUUGGCCCCUAAGAUAAGCGAUCAAAUAUUCCUUUAUUCUUCAAGAUAUCAUAUGGACAUGAGACAUGGAUUACAAUCAAUCUCAUUGUCUAAAAUUAUGUUUCCUGAUCUGUGAUGACGUCAUUAGACUACUAAUUGAAUACAUCAAUUCAGUCCUAGCUGGGCACAACACUAUAAUGUGAACACCAAAUCACCGAGGGACCAAAUAUAUUGCUUUUCCUAUUAGGGCAAAAGGAACGAAUAAACUUUGACUUAUAUACUUAUACCCUUUACUCACCAAAUCGUGCAUGUAAUUACGUUUAAUAGUAUCGUGUUACUGAUCCAUUUUCGCAAUACAAAUGCACAAUUGACUUGUAAAUUACAACUUAUAUAUCUUUGUUUGAAGAAUAAAAGAUAUUAUCAUCUCAAAAUUAAUUGUGAUAUAAUAUAUGAAGUAAUUCUCUGAGCGUGAGUUUAUCCAAUACUCAAAAAUCUCCAUUUUUCAAGCACUCAUGAAUAUUGUAGCAAACCCAUUGCAAUGUCUAAUCUCCAUAGACAAUCUACAACCUUUUCAAGACAGUCGUACUUUACUACUCACUUCCAAAAGUAUGAGUGACUGUGAAAUUUUUGAAUAAUCAAAUCUUUCAGGAAGUAAAACAUGCAAAAUAAAACACAAAAAUAAACAAACAAAAAGGCGAUAACUAUACUCAUAAAUAAUUCUCUAUUAUUUAAUCACCAAAUUCAAUUACAUUUAUUUUCUUAAAAAGUUUAAACUGUCAAAUAACUACUAAAACUAACAUCUUCUCUCAAGCCCAUGCUCCAAGCAUGCUGGUUGUGUUUAACCCUACUCAGAGCUUUUGUGAAAGGAUCUGCAAGAUUGUCUUCUGAUGAUACACGCUUCAUGUGACAUCCCCAAAAUCUCGGCCAGAAAAGACCGAUUUUCAUUUAUGCUUUUAAAUAAUUUCAGAGUAAAUCCUUUUGAUUUGAAAGAGUUGCGGAAUUUGUUCCCAAAACAAAACAUGAUAAAAUAAUAUUUAUCAAAGCAUUUCAUCAAGAGAUGCAUUUCAUUAUAUAAUCAAAACUCGGGAUGUCAUGUUCCGAUACAGACCAUAAAGCAUAAACGAUAACAUUACAAGUCAUUCAACAAAUAUAUACAUAUACAGACUUGUAAACAAAACAACAAGAUGAUCCAUCCAUCUUACGCCCUUGUGCCACUUCUUGUAAUACAAAUAAAACUGAGUGGGUCAGGCUUGGGAGCCUGGUGAGCAUAUAGGGUUUUUAACCCACAAUAAAUAAGUUAUAUUUAAUUUCACUAACCAAUCGCUAUCCCGAUUACCCAUUCCCGUUAUCCUCACUUUACGUCCCUAAAACAACUAUCUCAAGGGACCUAAUCUAGGAUUUUCAUCGGGACGGACAUCACUGCGAAGGGGUUUCCUCAACAAUAGAUAUCCUAAAGGCAACCAUGAGGGGGAUAGAGUACACCGGUGAACACAUCGUUCACAACACCUACAGGUUAUGAACCUGCUAGCGUUCCACUGGACUGUCUAGAAAGAGUCCGUGGUCGUUAUCCAUACUCCGCUGAAUAACUAGAUCAACAACAACAACAACAUCGAGGCCUCUCAUCUGUUUAUUACACACCAACUAUCUACCCAUGUUCUACCCAACAUAUUAGUAGAUAAAAAUAUAUAUUUUCAUACGUAGUUUAAAGAAAACCUGUAUAGCAUGCUUUAAUCAACACAUAUGUCACAUAACAGAUGAGGCACACACACAUAACACAUAUCUCAUAAAGAAAUAAGCAGAUCUAUAAGAUAGAAGAGAGUGAAUACUCAUUCACACAUAACACAACCAAAUAUAUACACAUAGCACGUAUUUUUAUAUAAAAUACUUCGUAUUAUUGUAUUAGAAGAAAUAACUACACACUCACUUGAUCAGAAGACGAUCCGACAGCACUACGGCUUAUAGAAGUAGUAAUCCACAGCAGAUCUGGAAGAUCUCCUCGAAAAUCGAACUUCUCGCGGGCAGAGCUUCGACUCGGGAACCGCGCUUCUCGGGAUCUUCGGGAUCUCGGGACUUGCCUCGGGGCUAGAGUAUGAUACCGGGNNNNNNNNNNNNNNNNNNNNNNNNNNNNNNNNNNNNNNNNNNNNNNNGGAGCCUCGGAGUACGCAGGGCGUAUUGCAGUACGCAGCGCGUACUGCGUCCGAAAUCGUCACUGCAUGCGUCAUCCGAAGUGUUGACACUAUCGGAGUACGCGGUAGUGUACUCGCGUACGCGGGGCGUACGUCGGAUCAGACUGGUGACUCGGCUUCGGAUAAUGCCGGAUUUUUGAUUUAAAAAUAAAUACAAUUUAUUUAUCAAACUUCGGAAAUUCAUAUCUUCUUCAUACGAACUCCGUUUUCGACGUUCUUUAUAUCCACGGAAAGGUGAGACUACGCUCUAUAACUUUCGUUUAGACUCCGUCGGCUAAUUUUGAUUUAUUUUUAUUAUUUAUUUUUAAUAGGCCGCGACAGAAAAACUUCGUUAUAAAUUCAUAACUUCUUCGUUUGACGUCCGUUCUCGCCUAACUUUUUAUCGCUUCGAUACCAACAAUGAGAUCUUCGAUUCUCAUUUAGAUUGCCUCGGCUAAAAACCGCUUGAUCUCAAUUCGAGUAUUUCAGGCUGCACAUCGCUAAGUUGAAACUUCGAUAAAUCAUAACUUCCUCAUACGAAGUCAGAUUUGGGCGUUCUAUAUAUAUUCGAAAACCUCGUUUCAACUACUACAACAUUAACCAAAGAUAUUAAGUUUAUUUUACACUUAAAUUUUGAUGCUUAUUUUUAUUCUUAAUUAAUCAGACCACAUAAUUAAGCAACUAAGCACAAAACACAUAAUACUCAAAUAAUACAUUCUUAUUAUUUCAAAAUGGGUUACAAAGGUUAACCUAGACUAUCACAUUGCUAAAAAUGGCAAGCCCGGAAACACAGGCGUUACACUUCACUAGGAGAUGAUAUUCUUCAACCCUAUGUCUGAUGUAAUCGUACUUUCUUUCGGUAUGUUUGGAUCUACCAUGAUCCUUUGGUUCUUUAGUCAAAGAAACCACCCUUUAAUUAUCAAAAAAAAGUUCCAUUGGCUCUUGAAAGGUCGGGACUACUUUGAGAUCGCCGAUGAAGUUCUUCAACCAAGUCGCCUCCUUUUAUGCCUCACUUGCUGCGAUGUACACUGAUUCACAAGUAGAAUCAUCCAUCUUAUCCUGCUUGGAACUUUUCCAAUUCACCGCUCCACCAUUUAACACAAUCACCCAUCUCGACUGAGAAUAAAAGUUGUCUCGAUCUGUUUGAAAUCUGGUGUCACAAUAUCCACUUACUCUUAAAAUAUCACUACGACCAAGGACUAGAAACAUAUCCUUCAUCCUCCACUGAUGCUUAAGAAUCUUAUUAACUGCAGUCUAAUGAGCUCUGCCAGGAUUUCCCUCAAAUUGACUAACCAUGCUCAAAGCAUAAGACAUACCAGGAUGAGUACAUUUCAUAACAUACAUGAUCUACAGCCGAAGCAUAUGGGAGCCGACUCAUGUAAGCUAUUUAUUGGAAUUCUCCAUACUAAAAAGUUUUAGUAUUUUAUCCAAGUAUGUACUCUAGCUAGGAUAAUAAGUCAUUUCUUUCUAUGCCUCAAAAUCCUUAUUCCAAGAACUUAGGUUGGUUCCCCUAGGUCCUUCAUAGCAAAACACUUUCCAAGCCAAUAUUUCACUUCUUGCAAGGUCAGAAUGUCGUUUUUUUAUAAGGUGUAUGUCACCAACAUACAAUAAUAGUGUACUUACGUAUUAGAAGCUUGUAAGGAUGAUUAGGGUCCAAAAAUAAUAGUGUGUUCUUGGUGUUCUUGGCAAAAUGAAGAACACUUGAAGAUCUAUCCAAAAAAAGAGAUUUCAUGGAUGAAAUCAUGAAUAUUCACUGGAUAUGGAAGGAUAUCAAGUUGAAAAUGGAAAUAUUACUUACAUAUUUGAAGAUUGGAAGAAAAAGUCUUAUGAGCCUUGGAAGAGAAUCCAAUUUCUAGGCUUAAAAUGGUAAAAGUGAUUUAAAAUGACUAAGUGUCAUAUAUAUACCAUAGAGUUUAUGGCCGUAAACUCCAUUUUACGGUCGUAAACUCCAAUUCUUGGAGUUUUGUGGCUAGACUAUUGUACAUUGAACUCUAGAGUAUACUUCCUAUAAUUACCUCUUGAAGGUACUAAGCUUUAGAACACUCAAACAGACUCUAAACAGUGCUAAAAGUUAGUAGAAACAAGUCUGACUUUGAUUGAAGUGAAUGGUUGUACGAAAUAGAAAUUUCGGGCAGUCACAUCAUCCCCCCGUUAGAGAGAAUUUCGUCCUGAAAUUAGAUUUUAAGCAAUUAAGUUACAAAUAACUAAGCAAAAAGAUGAGGAUACUUCAAUUUCAUUUGAUCCUCGCGCUCCCAAGUGAAUUUAGGUCCUCGCUUGGCAUAGCAGCGAACCUUUCACUAUCGAGAUACAGUUUUUGCUUCUUUUGUUUGACUUCACUAGGAUGAUACCUCUUCCUGGUCGAAUGUGUGUUGAAUGUUUUUGUAGUAUGUGAAUAUAGUACUCUUUGUACAAUACAGGUAGUGUCUCCAGAUCUUCAGAGCAAAUACCACUGCACCUAACUCAAGAUAGUGUGUUGAAUAGCUGGCUUCGAGUGUCUUAAGCUGACGGGAGACAUAGGCAAUGACCUUUCCUCUUUGUAUAAGCACACAACCAAGCCCUUGGUUGGAUGCAUCGCAUUAUACAACGAAAUCUUUUAUCCUUUCUGGGAGGGAUAAUAUCGGUGCGGUGCAUAAGGCUUGUUUCAGUGUUUGGAACGCCUUCUCUUGUUUCUCUUCCCAGUCAAAGGCCACUCCUUUCUAGGUCAGUGAAGUAACGGUUUCACAAUGCUAGAGAAGUUCUGUAUGAACCUGCGAUUGUAGUCAGUGAGACCUAAAAAUUUACGCAUUUCUAUAGGUGUCUUCGGAGCUGCCCAAUUCUCAAUGGUCUUGAUUUUGGAGGGUCCACAUGAAUUCCCUUCUUGCUAACAACGUGGCCCAAGAAUUUGACUCUUCGAAUCCAAAACUCGUACUUAGAGAACUUCGCAUAGAGUUUCUUUGAUCGUAAUGUUUCUAAUACUUUUUGUAGGUGUUGACUAUGCUCCUCUUUACUACGAGAGUAGAUAAGUAUGUCAACGUUGAAAGCAAUGACAAAUUGAUCCAAGUAAGGACGACACACCCUAUUCAUUAGAUCCAUGAAUACAUCUGGUGCAUUGGUUAAUCCGAAUGACAUCACUACAAACUCGUAGUGUCCAUAACGAGUUCGGAAGGCUGUCUUAGGGACAUCCUACUCUAGCACUCGUAACUAGCGAUUUGGCUACUGGGGUAGUCCCUCGGACUAAGUCGAUUCGGAACUCAACUUGACGUCGUGGUGGUAACCCUGGUAGUUCUCCUGGAAAGAUGUCGGGAAGGUCGUGUGCCAUUGGAAUGUUCUGAAUGUAUUUCACUUCUUGGCUCGCAUCGACGAUGUGUGCAAGGAAUGCGUGAUAUUCCUUUCACAAGCACUUCUGAGCUUGAAUACACGAAAUGAUGCGAAGGUUCAUACUUGAUUCGUUGCCGUAGAUAACUAGAGUUUCGUUGUUAGGGAGGUUAAGACGAACUGCUUUCUCAAAGCACACGAUGUCGGCUCGAUGUAGACUCAACCAACUCAUACCGAUUAUGACGUCAAAACCUUGGGGUGGAUUAGAUAUCGUGAAGAUCUAAAAGAAAGUAUGAUUACUCAUAAAUUACGGAAAAAGGAUAGGUACUUCUGUUCCAUCUGCAUCUCUUGUCCCGAUCUGCAGAAAGAGCAUUUGUUUGGCUUCUAAGUUUAUUCGCAUGACAGCACGAUCACUUGUAGUCUUUAGUAGUCUCCAUCCUGAAAUUCAUAUUAGAAAUCACACUUAGUUCAUCAAUCAUAACCUCACGUAUACGAGUCGUUUAUAAUUAAGAUUGAAAAGGCAGUUAAAUAAACAAUUCUUAUAUAAGCUCACAUCUAAACAGGGAAAAGAAGUUAAAGCGGAAUCAUCAAUUCUAAGCCUGUAGAACCUUGAUUAUGUACCACCCUUGCGUUUAUAUUCCUCAGCGAUAGAUUAACCGUAUUGGUCUUCGGAUUGAACUUGACUUACUGUACGAGUGUUAUUCUAGGGAGGUUUGCCGAGGUUACUUCGGGAACGAUACGAAACAUAAAGGCACUCUACACAUGAGUACCUCCGAGUUCUGGAACGUCGACCUUGUUAGAAAGU
rnacentral:lncRNA from 1 species